rnacentral:lncRNA from 1 species
GAAUGAAAUCUCAUGGUGCCAAAGGAAUGGAGGAGAGAGUAUUCGACUCUUAAAGGGAAAGUUUAGAAAAACAAGCGAAGGCACUACAAGGACUCAAGGAGUUGAUUACUAAAAUAAACAUAAAGUAUGAUCAUCUUGCUUUGAAGAUGAUGGGCACUACCAAUGAAAUAGCGUAAUCAGCUUAGAAUGAUCAAAACCUAGCACAAUCAAGUAAUACAAUGACCUUUAUCAUAUUAAAAAAGAUUAGUUUUCUAAAGUUUGACGACGAGGAUCCAAAAAGAUAGAUAUGUAGAUGUAAACAUUUUUUCAAUUUUGACCAAAUAUUUGACAUACAAAAUGUGCAUAUAAAAGCAAUCCAUAUAGAAGAGAAAUUUAUUCGUUAGUAUCAAUGGUUUACAAAAAUGUAUGUAGAACCAUAACGGGAAAGUUUCCAUAGGUUGUUUAUGCUCCAAUUUUGUUCGAUUACAUAUGAAAAUGCCUUAGGGGAAAUGACCUAUAUAAUGUUUGUCAAGUUGUAUCAUAAUAGGUUUGAAGAAUUAGCUAAUUGAACUCAAGACUUGUCCGAAUCUUUCUUAGUUAGUUGUUUUGUUAGCGGCUUAGAGGAUGAAGUUGAAGUUGGAGUAAGAAUGUUUCACCUAAAUUCAAUGACUCAAGAGAUUGGCUUGAAACAACGGUAAGAGGAACCUUAGAGGAUUUGAUGCAAGUUAAAGACUGUAAGCCAAGUGACACUUAGAGCAAGUAGAGGUAAGUCGUAUCCACCAAGUACUACCUCUAUGCUUAUUAAAAGGUUGACAAAAUUGACACGUUAUAUUUGUUGCAUAAAUACUAAAGCCUGAGGAUGGUAGUAAUCAUUGUUAAGAAAAUUCACAGAUAGGAACACUAUGACUUCUAGUAUGAGUUGUCAUCCUAUAGGACUAACACUAAUGUGUUUUAGCUAUUUAUGUUAAAAAGAUUAAUUGUUUGUUGAAACUAAAUAAAAACCUAAUUUAAAAUAAAUAAAAAUAAGAGUAUGAAAGAAGAUUUUCUAAAAUAUUUAAUGAAUUAAACAAAACAAAAGGAAGAUAUUCAAAGAGUUUAGCCAUCUAAUGUUAAUUUCAUAAAAUGAGAGAACAAUUUAUGAUGUAGGGUUUAAGGUCAAAGUCUAUAUGAGAUCCAAUUGACUCUUAAGCCUAAUUCACAUCCAAAACUAGAAUUUUGACUUUUGAAAACAAAUUUGUAGAUUUACUUGUUAGAGUAAUUCACAAUAGAUUAAAUCAAGUUAACUAGUGAUCAAAGUAUUCCCAAGCAUCUCCAGGCAGUAACCAUCUACUAUGCUUAUUCUAAGUUGAACUACAUAGAGGAUCUCUUUCAAGUAAUUUAAUCAUAUAUAAAACAUAAACAAACUAAUCAAAGUUGCCCUUGAUACUCAUUUUUUGAGUUCUUCACCUUCACCCUACCUUCGCUAGAUCACAUUGAAUCAACCAAAUAUAAUGAGGGAUUUAUCUUCACAACUUAUGUUUGGUUGGUAAGAAAAUAAACCAAAAACAACAUGAAAAAUAGAAACUUUAUUUAAGAAACUAAAGAAAAACAAAGUGUAUGGAUGUCUUUCCUCUUUUUCCUUAUCUAUAUGGAAUAUAUUAGCAAAAACGCACACAACAUCAACAUCAGAGUAAUACAACUUAAACCACCUUUGACAUCAUAUUGGAACUGAUAUGGAAUGCUCUCAAUAUCAAAAUUCCACUAGGAAAGAAUGAUUUUUAGGUGGUAUCGGAUGUCUAUCUGAGUGAAGAUACAUAAUUUAUAACAAGACAUGAAGCUAUUGCUAGAAAACUAUAUCAAAAUUUCAUUAUCGAAAUUGGUAUCAAUUCAUCCAAUCUAAAAAUUGACCAUAGACCUUCCAAUACUUGGUACAAAGCCUUGUCAAACUUCACCUUUCAAAACAAUAACAUGUUUAAGGUACUAUUGGUUCCAAUAUCAAUUUCUCACUUCUAUUAUUAAAAUUUCCAAUAAAACUAAUUACCCUUCUUUAUUUCAUUUUCACCAAUCCUCUUACACCUUCCACAUCCUUUUUCAUUAAUUCUUUAAGAAUUAAAAGCCAAGAAUGAGAGUCCAUGGUGUAAAAUUGAGAUUUUCACCAUGAUAUUAAAAUAUCUAAUAAACCAAGCAUUUAAUGUCAGUUGUUUUAAUAAAAGUCUUUAAGUUAUUUUCAAAAUUCUCCGAUGUUGGAAUGCAAACUGAUAGAGCAUUAUGACAUAAGAAUAUUCUUAUACAAAAUUGUUAGACAAAUUAAGUUUCUCCAACCUAUGGUAAUCACCCUAGAGGGGGAAUGAAUAGGGUGAUGAUCUCUUUUUGCAAAUCAAAUUAUGUGAAUGCAAGAGACAAUUAUAUGCAAAUAUAUAAUAAAACAAUAUAAAAGCAAUUGCAUAUAAAUUAAAAGAAUAUGGAAGAGAGAAUGCAAACACAAGAUUUUUAUAGUGGUUCGACGUAACCCGACCUACGUCUACUCUCCUCUAGCUUCAAUCCCAAGCUUGAGGUUCAACUAUUUCAAGGCUUCCAAACCAAGCCUUCAAGAAAUACAAUUGGAUUAUGGUUCCUAUCUACCCACUUGAACUUUUGUCUCCAAACACCCUUUAUAAUCCUCAAGAGAUAUCCCACUUUUGAACAACCUCUCAAGUGAUACCCCACAUUUGAGAAUCACUAAAUGAUACCUCACACUUAGAUUCUUCCUCUCAAAGAUAUACAAAUAAUUUCACAAAAUCCUAGUACAAAACUUUAGGCUCAAAUGAUACAAGAAAACUAGGAUUGAAUGGUGCACUAAUGAUAUGCAAGUUUUAGAACAAUGUUGCACUCAAAAAUACUCUCCCAAGGCUCAAAUAUAUCUAAGAAAGAUUUAGGAAUGUUAAACUCAUGAAACAAUGAAGAUUGGAGCCUUUUUAUAGAAGAAAACGAUCAAAUUUGCCGUUGGGGGUUCGACUGGUUGACUAGCUAUUAGCAUUUAAUGCUUAGCAGGUGACCGUUGGACCUCGACCACCCCUUGACCGAACCUUGAUCGAUUGAGGUGGGGGUCGACGAAUUGAGGCUCAACCUUGGCCGGUUGAACAACCAUUCUGGAAGAGAGAGAAGGUUCUUUGCACUUUUCGACUAGUUGAGCUGAGGGUCGACCGGUUCCUCAUCCAGUUCAACUGGUUGAGCCGUUUUUAGCUCAAAAACCAACUUUUUCAACUCAAAACCUUUUAAACAAGUUUAGAAAACAUUUGACACAAGGUUUUAGUUCAAAACAUGAAAUCAUCCAAUUUUAAAAUAUUUAAAACAAAAUAACCCUUGGAUGAUUUUGGUGUAUAAAUAAAAAAUGUAAUGCAUGAAAAUCCUAGUGCACCAACAACCUUAUAAAGAGAUUUUAUGAAGGUUGGGUCUUGAAAAACACUUCUCUUUGAAGUCUUCUUCUUCUUCAUGAUUUCUCUUUGACUUGAUUUGUCUUUGUGAUUGCCACUUUGGAAAUCAUUUUGCCUAAUCACACUUGAAAUAAAAUCAUUAGUUCUAAACCUUAUUUUUUUAUCAUCAAAAUUUAGAUUAACCAAACCUUGGUUUCAUAAAAAUGUUUCGAAACCACUCCGCUAUCAACACUAGUAUUAGACAUAGUAUCAGAUUGAAGAUUUCAAACUCACAUUAUAUUUUCCUAAGCCUUAUACUAAAACAGUAUAUUAGAAAUGGUGUCAAAAUUGGAUACCAAAAGUGAUAAUAAGUAUUUCUAUUUUUUCCUUCUUGUUUUCAUAUCCAAACCAUGAUUUUCCAAUUGUUUUUUCAUUUUUCCACUUCUUCAUCCCUUGCAUUGCAACAUCAAGUCUACCUUACUCUUGACUAUUGCUUCUACCAAUCUCGUGAAAUCUUUGUUUCUUUGGAACUUGCUUAAUUCUUUUUUAUUCUCUUUUUGUUGUAUUCUUUAUUAGAUUAAUUCAUUAGUUUUAAAAUUGGAGAUACCUGAUAUUCAAGCUAAGAAGGACCAAUUAACACUCAAAAUGCCUUUUAAACUUAUACUUUAAGUUUUAAAAUAUCUCAACUUUAGUAUUAAUCAACAAUCUAAAUUGAAUCAAAAAGGAAAAAAGAAUCUAUGAUAUUAUUGUGUUAUAAACCAGGUCAUAGAUUCAUGAAAAGAAAAUUGUUCAUGAUAGUUGAAGAUGAAAAGGAUAAGUUGAAUGAAGGUGGCAAUCAAUUAGAUGAAGAAGAAAACAAAGAAGAAGUUGAGAUUUAGUGGACAACUUAAGUGGAUAGAGGAAUCCAUACCAAAUUCUGACAAAGAAUUUAUUAUUAAGUACAAUGCAUUGGGUGUUGGAGUCAAAGAAGUGCUUUCCUAAGAAGGUCGAUCUAUCGCAUUCAUAAGUAAAACUUUUUUAAAAAAACUCAUGGUUUAUCUAAUUAUGAAAAAGAAAUGCUUGCUAUUAUUUAUGUUGUUGAAAAGUGCCAUCUAUACUUGUUUGAGAGGUAUUUGAAGAUUAAAAUUGAUAACUUCAAUUUUAAAUAUUUUUAAGAACAAUGACUCAUCAUCUUUAAUCAAUAAAAAUGGUUGAUGAAACUAUUAGGUUGUGAUUAUGAUCUAUUAUAGUGGUAGGAAAAACAAGAUAGUUUUUGCUCUAUCUCACAUAUCGUAGGAGAAAAGUAGUUUAUUGGCUUUUACAAUAAUAAUAAUUGACUAGUUUCCAAAAUUAGAAAAAGUAAGGAUAAGGUCAUUGACAUUCAAGAUCUAACUUCUUCUCUAUAAGUAGAUUAAGAAUUGAAGGCAAGCUAAGCAUAUAUUUAUGAGUUGCUAUGUUACCAAGUCUAUUUAGUAUAAGGAAUUCACUAGAUAUUAAAAAACAAUUUUUUUCACGACUUCCAUGAUAGCCCAAUAGGCAGCCAUUUGGGCUGUACACCAUAUUAUGAAGCAUAUAGCUAAUCUUAUUAUUAUUUUGUUUGGAAGGGCAGGAAAUGAGAUAUCUAUAAGUACAUCUAAGAAUGUGAUGUGUGCUAAUAUAACAAAAUAACAACAAUAGCAAUACUUGGUUUAUUACAACCACUUUCCAUUCCAUAUUGACUUGAUAUGUAUUAUUAGUACAUUACCUAAAGACUUUAUUCUAAUGUACAUGCAAAAUGACCAUGAUAUCUUUAAAUGUUCUUGUAUGCACCUCUAUCCAUUAAUUAUUAAGCCACCAACUAGUCGAGGUUUUGCAUGAAAGCUUCAUACUCAAUGUAUAAAUAUUAAUCAUGAAAUUAAUGAGUAAUGUUUGGUUUUUAUGACUUUGCAUGAAAGCUCAGCUAGUUGAGAAAGAUCCUGAAACAGCCAUAGUAUUAUUUUGGAAGGCAAUAAAUGCAGGAGAUAGAAUAGAUAGUGCCCUUAAGGACAUGGCAGUGGUGAUGAAACAACUAAAUAGAACUGAGGAGGCCAUUGAAGCCAUCAAGUCUUUUAGAGGCCUUUGCUCCAAACAAGCACAAGAACCACUGGAUAAUGUCCUCAUUGACUUAUACAAGGUAUAUUACCUAUAUAUUUUUUAAAACCAAGUUAUGCAUAGAAAUUUUCUCAUAUAUUAAUAAUGGAAGUAAAUAUUGAAUGAUACAUGUAGAAAUGUGGGAGAAUGGAUCAACAGAUUGAUUUGUUAAAGCAAAAGUUGAGGUUGAUAUACCAAGGAGAGGCCUUUAAUGGAAAACCCACAAAGACUGCUCGCUCCCAUGGCAAGAAGUUCCAAGUUUCUAUCAAACAAGAAACUUCUAGAAUACUAGUAAGUUCUCUUAACCAAUGUUAAGACUUUGGUCCAAAUAAGCUUCAUACACAUCAUUAAUCUUAUUGUUUAAACUUUAGGGCUAGAGGGUAUUUAAUAUUUAUUAUUUAAUGACUUAAGUUGACUUUUAGUGAACUUAUUUUUAAGUUGUUGAUUUAAAACUUAUUACUUGAUUUUUACAAUAAAUAUUAAGGUUCUUUUUUGGUAAAAUAACUUAAUUUUUUUAUAUUAUUAAAUUAACAUUUAUUUUUAUUAGUUUAACUAAUUUUUACUCUUAUUAAUUUUUUUAUUGAUAUUUACUUUCAUUAAUAUUAAGCAAUAAAUUAAUUUAUUUGUCAAUUAUGUAUAUUAAAAGUAUUAUAAACACAUAAAAAACAACAAAAUAUUUACUAAAGAAAAUAUGGAGUCAUUGAUAUAAGAGAGACUCUCAUUAUAUAUGAGAAAACAAGGCAAAAGAGAUUUGGGAUUCAAAAUAAAUUAAUUAUUUUGACUUAAUACUUAUAAGUGUUUUUUCACUUUAAAUUAUGACAUUAAGUUAUUGCAUACUCAAUCCACCAAAUGACUCAAAUUAAGUUGUGAAGUUUUAUUAAGUUUUCAAAUUGAUUUAUCAAAUAUAAUUUAACUUAAAAUCAUCUUUAAGUUAUUAACCAUUAAGUCUUAACAAACACCACCUUAAUUAAUAGCUUAAUAAAUUGUUGAAGUCUCAUUUGUUUUUGUUUUUUUUUUCUUCAAGAAGAUCAUAAAUUCAAACCCCACUACUUGUGUGCUCCCCUUAUUGAGCCAAAAUAUUUCUUGUCAUGAGGCGAGUAUUGUUGACCUAUUAGUUGACAACUUCAUUUAUUGAAAUCAAAGAAUGCACCAUAAUUGCAUAACAUAAUAUCAACCAUUAACUAAAUAUCUUAUACUUGAAAGCAUUUUGGUUUAUAUCAUAGGGCAAUUUGGGUUGGGCCUACAUGCAAAAAUCUAAGUUCAUAGCAGCCGAGGUAGUGUACAAGAAAGCUCAAAUGAUUGAUCCAGACGCAAACAAGGCUUGCAACUUGGCCCGUUGCCUUAUUAAGCAGGCUCGAAAUGUCGAGGCCCAUUUGGUUCUCAAUGAAGUAUUGCAAGGUAAACUCCUAGGCUCUAAAGAUUGCCAAACCCAGAAUCGAGCCCAAGAACUAAUGUUAGAGUUGGAGCCCAAGUGGUUGCCACCACCAGAGACAGUGAAGAUUACAAGGUUUGAUCUUGAAGAUGAUUUUAUUGAUGAGCUUGAGAAGUUAUUGAAUGAAUGGUCUCCACUUAGAACAAAGAGGCUUCCAAUCUUUGAAGAGAUAUCUUCAUAUAGAAACCAAUUACCAAGCUAAGGUUUCAUUAUUUUUGCUUUUGGACCUAGUUGGGCUAUGAAGUGUAUAUGGAGAUGAUAAUGGUAUUUAGUGUAAAUAAUGGAUCUAAAGAUGUAAAAUUUUAUGAGUAAAGGUCAUUUUUCUAAGGUAAACCUUAUGUUUGGUGUAUCCAUAAUUUUUUAGGAUUGGUUUGAAUUGUGGAAAAAUAUUAAGGAAAAAAUUAUUAGGAAAUUAUAAAACUUUUGUUUGUUUUGUAAUGAAAAAUUCAAAAAAAUAAAAAUAAAAAUAAAAUUGUAUGUUUAGAUUACUCUUUCUCUUAUGAAAAAGGAUAGAAUGAAAGGGGUGUGGUAAAAAAUUACCACCAAGCUUAAACUUAUUAUUAUUUUUUCAUUGUUUUGUAAAAUUUUAUCUUUUAUUUUGCUUUAGAAAUAUGAAAAAAAAAAAAAUCAUUGAGUUUAAACCUAUUAUUUUUUAAGCUAUUCUUUGCUUCUUUUUUUUUUUUCCUCUUAUUUUAAUUUCCUUUUGUUUUUCCUCAAUCUUUUUAAUAAUCCAAAUGAAAAUUUAACAAUUUUUUUUUUUUAAAAAAGGCUUAGCUAUAAAAAAUAUAUUUUAAAUUCUAGAACAUUUUUUACACCCAGAUUUAGGUUCUAUUUGGAUAAACUCAUGAAAAACUAAAAACUCUUUUUAAGCUUAAUAAAAGCUUUUAUGCUUGUUUAACCAAUUUUAUGAAAAAAGUUUAUAGGUUAAAGAAGAGCUUAAUAUAGAAGCCAAGAAAAUGUUGCUUCUUGUUGAAGUUUUAUUUUAGCUUUUGCAAGAAAUUCUGUGACGUUUAAUAAAACUUUUAUAAUAACAAUAUUGUCCUUUAUAAAUUGUGACUUUGACUUUAGGUUCAACUUCUAGUUGAAGCCAAAAAAAGAAAGUUAUCCCAAAUGAGGCCUUACAAGGAUAUAUUUGGUCAAUCUAUCCAAAUUGAUAAAUAGUAUAAAAUCAUUAGAAGUCAACCUCUAUGAAUUCUAUUCAUCAAGAAUAAUAUGAAUAUUAUUUCCUUAAUCAAAUUAUUUUUCCAUGUAAAUACCCAAUGUGCCUUAUAUACACCACCGGUAGCUGUAAUAUAAAUGACAACAAUAUUGGUGCCAUCGAAAUAUCCAUUACUACUCUUUUAUGAUAUCAAAGCAAACAAGCUUUAAUGAACAUCAUCUUUUGUCUCACUUUGUCUACCAUGACAAUAAAGUUGUUGAAAGUACUCAAAACCCAUCUAUUGUGAUCAUUUCUUUGUCUUUUAAUCGUCAUUCCAAUCUCAUUUCUGUCAAUAUUACUCCCCAACUCUUUUUGAAAAUAGCCUUAUCUAAUUACCCUUCUCAGAGUGCAUAAUUUUAUACCUUACUCUUUGGCUAUGAUCUCUUAGGACUACAAGAAAAAAGACUUUUAACGAUGAAAUAUUGUCACUAAAAGUUUUUGAAUUUCGUUUGCAUAAACAUUUCUUAAUGAAAAAUAUUUUGUUUCAUGUUUGUCACACUAAACCUUUCACUAAAAGUAUCCAAAUGAAAAUCGUAUUUUCUCACUAUAAGUUGUCCUUGAUGAAAUAAAUAUUUCAUCAUUAAAGGUUUUUCCUAAUGAAAUAUUUCAUCAACAAAAGUAAGAAUUUUUGUCACUAAAAAAAAAAAAACAAAAUGUUUCCCAAAAGUCAUCAAUACUAAAUGGUAACAAAUUCAUUUAGUUGCCAAAUAUUUUUUGUAACACAAAAAUUAUGUCUUUCUAUACUUAUCAAUGCCAACAAAAGUUUUAUUUUGUUGCCCUAAGUUUUCCUUGAUGAAAUAAAUUUUUCAUUAGUAAAGGAUUUUCCUAACAAAAUAUUUUAUCUAUAAAAGUAAUAAUCUUUAUCAUUAAUGUGACAAAUUCAUUUUGAUAUCAAUAAUUAAUGGUGGUCUCCAACACAUAUACCAGUGAAUUAGAAAUUUGUUGUGGAUGAUAUGAAAACUUUCAACAACAAAAAUAUUUCACCAGGAAAUAUCUUUAGUGAUAAAAUGUUUUAGUCAAAAAAUGUAUUUAUAAUUUUCUUUUUCAUAUUAUAAUUAUACAUUUUUUGGUAUUUAAAACAUAAAUUAUAAUGAAAAAUUAAAUUCUAAAAUAUGCUUACAAAAAUCAAAAUUUAUAUUACAUAACUUCAUUAGUAGUAUAUGUAACAAUGUCAUAUGAUCAUAAUAGUGUUAUAUCUACCAUCCAAUCAAUCAUAAUAUAUAAAUCAUUACAAGAAAUAAGACUUUUAGUCAUGGUCACCAACCGUCACCAAAUCUUAUAACUCUAUGACCAAAGCUAAUUGUCACGGUCAUAAUAUCAGGCACAAGCAAAGGUAUUGGUCAUGGUUUUAUAAGUGGUUGUGACCAUAUGGUUCCAUUUUUUGUGAUGGGUGCCAAAAAAUCGUGACAAAAAGUGAGAAACACUUUUAAUGUUAUCCAACUAAUUUGGUCACAAUCAUGUAAUCGAUUGUGACUAAAUAUAAACUUAUGGUCACGAUCAAGUAAAUGACUGUGUCUAAAUGUAUACAUAUGGUCACGACAAUGUAGGUGAUUGUGAAUAAAUGUAUACUUACGGUCAUGACCACGUAGGUAACCAUGACCAUAAGUUAUGCCCUGAUUGUGACUAAAUGUAUAUUUAUGGUCACAAAUUUUAAUGAUUGUGACUAAAAUUUGUUUAGAUUCACAUUUUCCCAAACUUAUGGUCAUGACCACAUAGGUGACAGUGACUAAAUGUGUACUUAUGGUCACGAAUUUGAAUGACUAUGACUAAAAUUUGUUAUAUUGAAACAAAUGCUCUUUUAUAGAUUCUCAUUUCCCAAACCUGAUAUAAACUUGAACAAACUCAUUUUAUAUCUAAAACAAUUUCAAAACUCAAAUUUUAAAUGUAAUACAAUAUAUCAAAAUAUGUCAUCAAAUAACAAAAACAUAAUAUGAAAAAAAAUAGCAAAAGAGAGUCAAAUUCAGUUUCACAUCCUAACAUUAUGUGACAAGUCAACCAACCAAAUAACACAUAAUAAUAAUUAAAAAAAAAUCUAUCAUUUGCAUAAUCUUGAAAAUUCUACUGCUUUGGUUGAAAUUGUUGCAUCAUUUGUUCUUAUAGUUGUGCUUGUAUUUGUUUUUGCAUUUCCAUCAUUUUUCCUUCAAACUCUUCUUUCACUUUUUCUCUUGUUCUCUUUUGAAUUUCUACCAACCGUUUUUCAAAUGUUUCUUUCACAUGUGAGAGUUCUUCAAUUGCAUUUGUAAACUUUUGUUUUGCAUUUACUAGCAACUCUUGAGCAUUUUCAAGUUGAAUUGCAAGAGUAUUAGUUGAUCGCCUUCUACUAGUAGAACCAAAGAUUGAGAUAGGAGUAGGACCAAAUCCAUAUCCUCAAACACGUCCAUGCCUCUUUGGACUCAUCACUUGAUUAUAUAUCUCAUCUACAUAUGUAGAUGCUACAGAUGUAGAUACUACAAAUGAUGUAGAAGCAACAGAAGAAAAUAUCCCCUUAGGAUGGGAUGGUAAUUGUUGAAAUUGAUCCUGAAAUUAUAUAAAGCAAAAAUAAUUGUUAGACUUUUAAAAUAAAUUUAGUAUGUGACUAUGAUUGAAAUACAAGUAUACAAAAUUUAUUUACUUCAUUACCAUAAUUUCCUUUGAAUGAUCAUCAAUAGACAUCCCAUCCUUCUUUGUAUGUGUCAAAACAAACAUCUCAAUUCUAUUAAGCUUAAUCUGAUUCUCCCUCUUUUGUGCUUAUUCUUACAAGUAAAACAAUUUGGUUAGCUUUUAUGAACUAUCCAUGUAUAAAAAAAAAUCUUAUUAAUAAUAAAUUUUCAACCUGUUCAUAUUGAAUUUGGGCAUAAUAUUUUGAUCCUGAUGUAUGUUUUAUCACUUGUUUUGCCCUAUUUGUCUUGGUUUCUUUUUUCCUGAUAUGUCCUACAUCAAAUAAAAAAUAGCUUCACUUAUAUAACUACUAGAAAAUCAAAGUUACUAUUAAUGAAGUAUUAGGUUAGUAUAACUAAUAAAUAUUAUCUUAUGUCAAGAUGUGUAUCACAACAUACAUUAUUAAGAAAAUAUCAUUAUGUUUACCUUUGCCUCAAAUGUGCCCCAAAAGUGGAUGAGCCACAUCCACUCAUCGUUUAAUAAGUGUGGUUGUUGAUGGUGUAAUCUUUCCUUAUUUGUAUCAUAAGAGGUAUAAUAUUUGGCCUUUAUUUAAUUCCUAUAACUUCUAAACAAAUUUACACAACAACUAAGAAUAUAGCUCCUGUAUGCUUCAUCUACUUCAUAUUUGUCCUGUAUUUUAUUAAAAUGUCAUGUAUAAAUGAAACUUAUCAUUUUUAAACAAUAACAUUAGAAUUUAAAUGAAUAGGAAUUGACAUAUACCUAUACUAAAGCCCAAACUUUUCCUUCACAAUGUCACUAACAUGAUUCCAAUCUUGAACUUCAAUGGGUACAUUAUGUUGAGAUCGUAUCAAUGUCCCCAUAUAGCUUGAAAGUAUUUCUCCAUUUCCAUCUUAAAUGACUUGUCCUUUGUUAUUGAAUCUUGUAGAUUUCUUUUCCCUUGGUUUCAUGCCAAGUAAAUCUAAGUUACGUGCCAUGUGUCCUCUUUUUGCUAGAGGAGGAACCUAUUAAAAGUAAUAAUAAGAUUAUAAGAAACAAAAUUUAUUUAUCUUAUAUAAAGUUAAACAUUAAAUUUUUAUCAUUCUAGAACUAAAUAUAUGUAAGCAUAUUUAUCAUAUGUAAAGUUAAACAAAAUUUUCUUAAUUAAAUUAUUCGUGGAAAGAUCUGAAGAAUGAGAAGGACUAGAACUACUUGGAGUAGUAGUCAUAAGUGGUUGCAUGUCUGAGAGUUGCUGUAGAUUCUCCAACUCAUCUUUUGGAGCUACUAUCUGCACUCUUCCUCUUUGAUAUGACAUUUCCUACAUAAUAAAAUAAAUAAUAAAAUAUAAUAUAGAAUAAGUUACAUAAAUAGUGUGGAAUAAAUUACAACUUAUAUACCAAAUAAUAUAUAUUCAUGUUCUUACCAAUAUUAUUAGCUACACAUCAUCUAUGUCAUCAUCAUCAUCAAUAAAUUCAUUAUCUCUUUCAACAAUGCUCCAUUGUCAUGAUAGUAGAACAUUUGUGUGGAUAGUUUCUCCUACAAUAUCAUUUUUAUUCCAAUUGAGUAAAUCAUUCUCGACCAAGUGUUAUAGGUUGUUGAUAUGACUCUGGAUCAUUAAUAGAUGCUUCUUGACUCAUAUCAUAAACCCCCCGAGUUUGUAUCUCUACAACGGAGUGCCAUUUUGUGUCAUUUGAAUUUUGAACAUAAAAAACUUGUUUUGCCUGAGAUGCAAGCACAAAUGGUUCAUAUGUGCAUAUGGUUCAUUCAAAAUUCGAACACAUGAAUCUGUAUUCAUCAUUCUUUAUCCCCUUUCCAAUAUUGAUUACAUCCCACCAGUCACACUUCAAUAAAAUAACUCUACUUCCACUGAGAUAAUGUAGCUCGACUAUGUCAGUUAGCACACCAUAGUAAGAAACACGACCACAAAUUGGGAUCUCUUACACUUUCAAAGCUUGAUACCUCUACGGUUGCAACAACUCCACUAUUAUGAGUUUUUUUCUCCCUUUUUCAUUUUUUUUUGUGUAGAAUCUAAACCCAUUAAUGAUAUAUCCUUUAUAACAUGUAAUUGAUACACUUGGUCUACGAGACAAUGAUAGUAUUUGUUUAGAGAUUGGACCUUCACACUGCAUUUGUAUAACUUAUAUUCAAAUAUCUUACGUUAAUAAAUAUAUGUUUAUUUGUUAACAAAAAAAUUUAUAUGUUAAAUGUACUUACAUGUUGUUCAAACCAACUAAUGAACUCUCUUGUGUGAAACAAAUCUACAUCCCAUGCACGAAUAUGAGGCUUAGCCUUAAUAGAUUGUUUAUGCUCUUUGAUAAACAAAAAUUUAUAAUUAUAAAGCUCAUAAAGACUAAGAUAAGACUUUUUCAUGAGAAUUGAGAGAAAGUUUUAUUGAAAUAAGUAUCUUACUCAAUAAAAGGUGUCACUUCCUCACAAUUAGUUAACACAUAUAAAUGUGCUUGAGACUACUCUUUUGUGCUAAGAGCAUGAGAUGUUGACUUUCCUAUUGUAUAUCCCAUGCAUUUGAAAAGUGAUUCGGAUAUUUUUGACAUAAUCUAGGAGAGCUCAUGCCAUCAUCAAUGGAACAGGAAGUUGAAGGGUAUAAAAAGGGGAUAAUGUCAUGUUGAGAAGUCAUGGAUAGAAUUAGUAGUACAUAGUUACUGACUAUUAUUGAAUGGGAAGACAAAAAUGGGUUCAGAUGUUUGUUCCUAAAUAUUUAAAUUGGGAUAGUUUCCAUGGUACAAACCAACUUGCUACAUCAUCCUGGUGGACACUUUCGAAACAACAAUUAUCAAUGUAUGAUAAAAACCAUUAAUUUUAAUUGUUGCAUUUUGACUAAUGGCUUUGCAUUUUUUUAAUAUAUUACUUUAAUUUUGAUAAGGGAGAUUUCAUUGUCAUAGUCAUUGGUUGUAUUCACAUGUGUCAAGGAUAAAGGAAUAGUUGCAAAAGGAAAGAGAAUUGAAGACAACUUUGGAAGCUGGAAUUAUUAUGUCUCCGGGUCUAUUACCUAUCUCAGCUACUUGUGACUUCCAAAAAUGGGUCCUACACUAGAAUUUAACAUUUAAAUGUGUUAAUGGUGAAGGAAAAGCUUGAGCAAGUUAAUUUUACGGAGGCAAAUGUACUUAAUAUCAAGAAGAAGGUUGAUGAUCUGAGUGCUCAACUUAAGGAUAGAAUGUGAAGUAAACUACGGUCCUAUACACGAUUCAUGAAGUGUGCCCCAAACAUCAUAGAAUUAUAAAGCAAAACAGUAAGUCCUUAUUUACUCUAAUUCCUAGUUUUGUUACAAGUGACUUAGGUAUGAGAUAUAUACUUAGUAUUUAGUGUCUACUAACCUCAAUGUGUGUGGCAAGCCUAUUUAAGCUUGUUUGGUACAACUAUAACUUUUGGUACAGUAUUUUUCGACAAAGUUCUAAACAAAAGGGAGGUUGCUAUUUAGCAUAUAACAUAAAUUUUAAGUUUGAAAUAUCCUAAUUGAUGUUAUUAAGAAAAAGUAUCUAACAAACAAAUUUACUAAAUGAGCUUUUACUAAAUAAGGCCAUCUUUAACUUUAAGUGGUUUUGCUGUGAGUGGAGAGACUGUAAAACUCUUAUUAGCAAUGUGAAAAGGUAAUAUGAAGUCAAACAGUUGCAUUUCAACAAAAUAUUCAUGUUUGGAAAUAGAUCAAAUGUACAGAGUGAUUUUGAUUUUGGUGAAAUGAUUAUGAAGGAAAAGAUUUUGUACACAGGUUGAUGAUGAAACAAAAUCUUUUGCUCUCAUUUUUUCCUUAUCUAAUUAUAGGAAUGAUAAACAGAAGAUUGUUGAAACCACAUCUACUUCACAUCUUCAUGAAAAGUCAACGUGGAAUAAGGUAUAUCUUGAAGUGCAUCUAAAUCAUUAAUUUCCAAUGUUGAGGCAACCAUGAAUUUGGACAUCAUAAAGCAUCGUUCUACAAGCUAAUAAAAAAUGGUUGAAAUUUAUAGUAUAUUGAAUCUAAAUUACAGCUUUAAUCCACAUUUCUUAAAUGUACAGUGAUUUCAAUGACAAUCUGAUAAUGCAAACAUAAAUGGGUGCAAGAAACCAUCAUUUAAGGUAAGCGUAUAAUUAGUGACUUAAACUUGGGAACCAAAACUAAACAGUGAAUGUAGAAUGAAGAAAUAAAAUGAAACAAACUGUGGGCCAUUAAGGAAUCAACUUAAAUUUUUUCAUGAAUUGUGAUUCUAGCAAACGAUCUAACAAGUUGGGGUGUGGUGUUUUUAGCAUAUGUUAUCAUCAAAAUAUGGAUUCUAUGAACUAUAGGAAUAUGAAACGAUGUGUAUGCAGAUUAGUUAUUAUGUUCUUGGGGUCACUUGCAUAUGCAUACACAAUAUUAUAUCUUCCAUAGAAAACAUUGCUCUACUAUCUAAAUAAAAAACUCAAGGAAGAAAGAAGUUGAUUUUGUACAUGCCAAGAAAAAUGCUUAUUUCUUCAAGUUGGUGCAAUAAAGUCCCUUAAAUUACCAAUUGCCUACAUCAACAUAGUAGAGGCAUAAGAAACUGCAUCAUAAACAAAAUUUAAGAAAUAAUAAUAUUUCUCAUCCUUCCAUCCCUUAUAGAGGAAUGAAUAUGAGAGUCCAUCCAAUGAGAGUACACGCCUAAAAUUCAUUCACAUAUUAAGUACAAUGUUAUUAAAUAUAUCUUUGAUCACCUUAAAGGAAAGAAAAAAUAGAGUUAAUAUAAAUCUUUUAUUGAUAUCAACAAAAGAUUGAAAUCCAUGGAGAAACAACCCUACUUAGUACCUUUCUAGUUGGACAAAACAGUCGACACUUAAUCAACACCCCUUAACAAGUAGGGAGUAUGAGAAUCCCUUUCCAGGAUAUGUGCGAUCCAAUGAAUUAACUAGUCACCUACAAGAAUAUGAACUUUGCAUCUAAUGUCCUUAAAUUGAACCCUUCCACCCAUUUAUACACUACAAAAGCAUACCCUUUAAUUUUUUAUUUUUUAUUUAUUUUUAUUUUUAUUUAUUUAUUUAUUUAUUUUGCAAUUGGGGAUUUUGCAUCUUCAAAGUGAAGAGCCAUGCUAGAUACAUUUAGCAUCAGUCUUAGUUGAACACAACAUUUGGCAAAAUGGGACCUAACCCUUAUCCAAGUCAAGUUGGAUGAGAUUCAAUCUUGGAAGCAUAGACACAGUGGAUGGGCCUCUAUGCCCAGAGCAUAACUAGUUGAGUUUAACAUUUCUUUAUGUGGUUUAUUAGUGUGGUCAUUUAACAGUGCAACUAUGAUAACCAUGCAGUCGCCAAAAAUUUGUAGUUUAUAAUAUUUAAACAUCUAAUACACAAAUUCAUAAUGGAACAAUUAGGAAAAAUUUGAUGUCUCUAUUGGUUCAGAAUAGACAAUAGUGUGCAUAAUUCAUUUUUGACUGAGAUGUGAUGAAAAUGGAUGGACUUAGACCAUAAGCAAGAGAAGAAAGUUUUCUAGAUUAGAGCAUAGUGGGAUCAAAUAGGAAGUAAUCCAUAAACUUCAAUUUAAUAAAAAAGAAUUAUACAUAAACGGGAAAAUGUCGUCAAAAUCACAUAACCCAACAUUUUAAUGAUGGAAAAGUAUGAAAAAAGUAUGCAUAAAAAAAUAAAUGGUGAACAAAAUGACUACUCUUUGUUCCCCAGAUUGCAAACAAUCCCUUAUACAAUGGAAAAUCUUUCACGUACAUAGAAUCUUCUUCACACAAAAAGUUUGUCAUUUACUAUAUAUACUUCAAAGUUGGGAGAAAUUCGAAAAUCGUUUAACUGUAAAAUGUCAAUUUCGCAUAGGACACAACUAGUGACAACAAAAGGUAUAAAACAUUUACAUAGUAACACAACUACGAAAUGAACCAACGCAAUCACCUAAAACAAACAAUCUAUCUCAAUAUCAAGACAAGUAAAUGAAAUAGAACUAUGAUAACAAUUUGGAAGUAAUAUUAACAAUGACAACACAAUGAUGAUUAGGUUUACAAAUUUGUUAUUGGUUGGUAAUAGUCUUUAUAAAGUUUUUUCUAAAAAAAUAAUGUCAAUACAAUGGAACAAAGUUUCAAUAAUGGAAGAAGGUGACAACAAGGCACUUAUGAUAAAGGAUUCUUGCACGUUUUCUUGUUAUGCCCAGAUUCUUGACUUCUAGAGCAAUAGACAAUCCAUUUAUCUUGAAAUUGGGACUCAAUGCGCUUCUUCCUUGGUCUUUCGAGAUAACGUUUUGUAUGGGGAAGGUUAAGAGAGAAGAAAAAUUCACCGGUGACAAAUUGUACCAAACCAUCAACAUCCACAUAUGGCAUGUCAUGGGUCUCUAUACCAGAGAAGGAACCCAAGUAUAUCAACUCUUGCAUUGGGAAUUUAUACCAAUCCUAAACAAAAUCAACAACAUUAUGAUUGAUGGAAAGAAUAAUGGUUGCCGCAUGUUCAUAAGGGAUUCCCAACAUUUCCCAACCCCAACAUGUGCAAGUACACUUCAUAAUGUCCACAUUCAAGAAGGUCCUCCUGAUACAAACCCCAAAUAUUCCAUUCAUGAAAGAAGUGACCGAAUACACCUCACCUUUGGAAAUUUUCUGCAACACUUUCUCUUCAGUUUUUGGCCCUAUAGAUCCCUUCCAAUUGUUGGAUUUCUCUUUAUGCUUGACAAGUAUAGAACCUAACUUAGCCAUGUGCUCCAUUUAAAAGUUACAAAUGGAGUGAUUUCUUUCAUUCCUUAACCAAGCAUUAAACGACUCGGCAAGGUUGGUGGUCAUUUUAUCCCAUCUUUGUUUUGGGAAUUUUAACAUAGCCCAAUGUUCGGGUUCAUUUUCUUCAAUCUAUGUGGCCAAAGUGUUGUUGUAUUUUCGUAGUUCAAAUAUGGAAACAUUGUAAUCAUGCUCUAACCUUGCAUAGGCAAUACUAUCUAGGAAUUUGAGCACAUUUCCUUUACAUUUGUUCCCUCUUGUGGUAUGUUUACUUAAAAAAGAGUUGAAAUUCUCAUUCAAGUGACAGUAACGGUAGAUGUGGUUUUCAAGGCCAAAUACUUCGGGAACACUACGAAGGAGGGUAGGAUGUCUAUCCAAGUAACAAUGACUUCCUUAUUUCCAACAAUUUUUUUCAAGUUUUGCAAAAUCCAAGACCAAUCCUCAUAAUUUUCUAAGCUCAUCACGCCAAAGGCUAAGGGGAACAUGGAUUCAUUAACAUCAUAUACGGUGGCUGAAAAUAAUGCACCCCUAUAUGGGCCACUCAUAUGGGUUAAGUCAAUAGCAAUGAUUGGCUGACACCCCAUUGAAAACCCUUUAAUAGAUACUACAUGAGCAACAAAGAGUUGCUCAAUAUGGUCAUCACUCGAAUGACUCAACUCAACAAUGCUUCCCGAAUUAGUUGCAUCCAUUCUCUCACACAUCCAAGGCAACAAUUUGUAAUAAUAUUUGGGCUCUCCAUAAAUGCACUCAUUCACCUUCUCCUUAAUGUCCCAUGCUUAAAGAUACAUCAAUUGCAUCCCAUGUUGCAUUUGGAAGUCCUUACAAAUUUGGCGGGGUUGGUAAUUAGGAGUAGACCGUAUCACAUCAUCAAUGAGCAAUGACACACGAUUAGAUCUCACUAAAGGUUGGGAUGAGGCAACAUUUUCCAAACUAUGGUUAUGGAGGUUUUAGAAUGUGUGAACCUAAAUAAUGUUCGAAUCCCUUAUUGCAACCACAAUGACUUUCCAAGGACAUUCAUCAACUAUGCAAACUACUGUCAUGUGUUUUAUACUAUCCUCUUGAAGCAAUAUUGGAAUCUACCAACAAUUGACAUCAAAUACAUGGCAUCCUGAAACUCGACAGCAUUGGGGAAGGUAUGUCCACUGCCCAUAAUGGAAUUUUGGAACUGGUUUGAGUCACGUUUAAUCAUAUUUGAUUCAGCACAUCUUUGGGAAAACCCAUAUGACUCAACUAUAAGAGAGUCAUUACAAAUGUCCAUUGGUGGAUCACCAAGGGAGGAAACUAUUUGUGCCAAAUUUAAACCAACAAUAGGUGUUGGGACACUACAAAUAAAACAUAAAAAUAAAUUCUUCAUCUUAGACAAAGUGAAUGUGAUGUUGGUAAGGCCAUAUGUACCUAGUUGGUGCGAUAUAGGCUACAACAACUUCAAUAGAUGGGGAGACAUAGACAUGACAAAACAUGUUGUUGAAUCUGAACAUCUUCAGUAUGGUUGUGUCAUCAUGCAACAGUAGUAGACAUGAUGGGUCAAACUUGAUCAUGAAUUCCAAUUUGAUUGAAUUCCAAUCAAUGUUUAGUUCACCACACAAUUUUGAAACGAAUCAAUAUAUGACAUAUGCCCGCUAACAACAAUGCAUUUUGUCCAACCACCUUAUAUUCUAUGGACCCACCAGCACACUUAACUAGCUCACUGUCUUCAUAAAUGUAGCAGAACAUGUCCCCUUCCAUUUCCUUAAUCACAUAAAAACUUGUUACUAACAAUACAACAACAAAAGUAACUAGGGAUUAUGUAUGAAUAUAAGAUUUCUUUGUAUUCAACACCACUUUUUAAUUAUAAUGAUGUUGGAUUAAAUAUCGUUAUUGACUCAUUUUGGCAUUUAGUUUCGCACUUUACUAAGGUACUACCUAAGGUUGAGUAUGGAAGUACCUAAGGUUUGGUAAACAGCUAAGGUGAAUAAACUAAUUAACAUCAUAAAGCAAACUAUUGAAUGAAGUAACUAAGGUUCACAUAGGUAGUAAGCUAAGGUGUGUUAAGGUAGUACCUAAGGUUCACUUAGGUAGUACCUAUGGUUCAUUAAGGUAGUACCUAAGGUUAANNNNNNNNNNNNNNNNNNNNNNNNNNNNNNNNNNNNNNNNNNNNNNNNNNNNNNNNNNNNNNNNNNNNNNNNNNNNNNNNNNNNNNNNNNNNNNNNNNNNAUAACUAAGGUAAUACUUAAGAUUCACUAAGAUAGUAUCUAAGGUUCACUGAGUUAGUACCUAAGGUUCUUUAAGGUAGUACCUAAGGCUCAUUAAGGUAAUCCCUAAGGAUGGUUAAGCUAGUUCCUAAAGUACAAUAACCACUAUAGCAAAGGUGAACCAAUGGACCACACAAUCCCUUAAAAAGCUUCGAUGGUUAAGUAUUGGACUAAUAAUAUGGAUGAAGCUAAUUUGAGGUAUGACCAAUUACUAGUUAUUAAGUUGAAGAAAAAAGAGUUUGUCAAACAUUUGAUACUCCAAACUGCGACAGUUUUCAAAGCACGAUUAAGCUAUAAAUGUGGCAACAUUUUGUCAACACUUUAGCGUUUCUCUUUACCCGUAGGUCAAAUGGAAUGAAAAAAAAAAAGUUGUUCAAGAAUUGCUUAUGUGGAGACUUUUACUUGGGAAUUGGAUAUCUUGUUUCUCAACACAACUCCAUGAUUUGGAAUUAGAAAUGGGUGGGGAUUUUCUAAAAGUACCUUAAGUAUUAAGUUUAGAAAUGUUUUUUAAAACAUGAAAUAGUCUAGGGUGCCAAACUUGAAGUAAAGCACGAUAAAGUUGUAAAUUUUGCACAAAUUUCAAUUUUUUAUUUCUAAUUUCUCUACCAUUAUGAAAAUUGCUAGCAACUUACAAAUUGAACAGGUUCUUAACUAUCAUGUUCUUAUUCAAGUCGAAUCUUAACGUAAACAUUCAGAAUCCUAGGUCUAAAAAACGGGAUUUGGGUAGUAAUUCACCCUCAAAGUCCAAACAAGAUUAAGUAUAUCAAACAACCAAAUAGAUUGAACAACUUAGAAAAAAAAGUCAAAGUCAAUAUUGAAAUUGUUUGUUCAAAACUCAAUUUGAUUUAUAGGAUGUAAUUUCUAGCCCAUUAACUUCUCAAAACUUAGCUUAGAUACAUUCAAUAAGUGUUAGUUUAAACAAACUUACAAUGAUCAAAAUAACAUAAAAUUUAAAUUUAAAAGACUACUUUUGGGACCCAUUUUUAUCAUUACCAUUCCUAAUUUCCAUAAGGUACAAGGCAUUUCUCAUAAACAUCUAUAUACCUCAAGGAUUGACAAAAGUAAUAGCAAGAUGCUUACCUUCAAAUUCCCUUAAAACGACAUGCAUAAAAACCAGUUGUUAUUGAUAUGACCACAUAUACCAACCUCAAAUAUUUUUGACAUAAACUAUUAAGUUUCUAAUUCACAUUGACAACUAAUUAAGACAACUCUUGACAAUACUACCUUUAAGCAAAACCAAAUAUUUCUCAUUCUAAUUGCAUGCUUAACUUUUUCUCUAUACCCAAAAUUUAUUUUUACGUAUUCAUAUCUAUGUUUGUUUCCUGAGAAAAGAUAUAGGAACAAGAAAACAGUUUGAAUAUUUGAAUUUUCAUGACCGGUAAACAUGUUUUCUAUGACAAGUCUACUAAACAUGUAAUUUUUUUUAUAAAAUAAACAACAUUUAUAGACAAACUAAUUAAAAACCUAGCAUUACAUAAAACACUAUGGGGUGAACAAUUGAUAUUCAUCUCAUCACAGAUGCAUAAAGGACCUUCAUCAAACAACAAAAAAACACAUUUUGAUUGCCAAGCUACCAUAUAUGCAGGCAAGAAUCCAAAUAACCACAUUAACAAGUACUUAUGCAAAUACUAUUUACAAUUUUAAAUCAAUUAAAUUGUUAAAAGAGAGUAGGUUUUACACAUUAUUACUUCACAUACUGCAGUACUGUUCCAAAUUUCAUAUUAGGUGGCUUGUCAUUGAAAAAUAGUUUGUAGCUAAAUGCAUAGUAUAUCCAGUUCCAGGAAACAAACAUCUUUACCUUAAACUUUGUCCCAACACUUUGCUUCUAGGAAUCAAAUGCACUUAAGGAUAAAUGACUAGCUUGCUUCUGGGAGUGGUCGAGCAAAAUUGGAGGCAAACAACUAAGAAAGCUUGCAAUUGCAUGAUGAGAGAAGUUGGAUUGAAUCAAAAUGAAGAGGAUCUCUGUUCUUUUCCAGGAAGCCACUUGUAUCAUAAAGAACCUAGCAAACCUCAAGAUGUUAGUAAAUGCGUACACAAUGAUAAAUCCUGAUUUUUGAAGGGUUUCCAUGAAUGAAUCAAGCCAGCUCAGACAAGCAUAAGGUAAUAUUUUAUAAGCAUCAGGCUAGUCAAAGUAACUAUCACUAUGCUAAUUUGAUCAAGAUAAGAAAACUCUAUAAAACAUGUAACCAUUAAACCUCUUUAACAAGUGAUCAACAUCAAGUCAACUAGCCUAUGUUUGAAUUAACCUAAAUGUUUUACCACAUCAUUAGAUAAAUUACAAUUUUUGUACACAAGGUCAAUUUUAGGAUGAGAAUUAAUUUAGAAAUUACAAACAUGCAAUCACAGAAGCUACUUUCCAAGUAACAACUUGUUUAGUGUUAAAAGACUCCUAACUUUCAAAACUCUUACUCGUUUCCCUAAACAAUGGCAAACACUUCGUAAGAUAAACCUUAUUCUCCAAAGAAUUGUCUUCUUUAAGAUAAAAUAUAUAUAUGAAAUAAAUUGAGAAGAUAGUAAGGGUAACUUUUAAUCAAAGUUGGUCUCUAUCCUUAGAUAAAUAUUGUCUUCUUUAAGAAUUUAAUUUCUGAUGAUCCUUUUUUCUACUGAAUCCCUAAUUAACAUCAAUCUAAAAGGAAUGUCUAAAGGUAAGCCUAAGUAUAUAAAUGUGAGAUGCCCUACCCUUUAACCAAUAAUUGAAACUAGUAAUUCCAUGUUCUCACAUUCUACUUAGGAAAUAAAAUUUUCUAUUCAUUCAAAGAACCACCACAAAGAAAAAAAAGGUUCACCCCACAACUAACAAUUAAUCAUUACUAUUUCCUAUCAAAGGAAAGAAUAAAACCCUUAGCAAAGAAUAAAUGAAAAAUUUAUAACCCUUCAACAUUAUUUUGCUAGUCAUUAAGCCUUGAAGGAAACCAUUAUUGAUGACUCUUUCAACCAUAUAACUUGAGGCUUUUAUGACUACAUAAAAAAAUAUGAAGAAAAUGGAUUAUCUUGUCUCAAAACUAGUAAGAUUGAUGAAAAACCAAAAGGGGAUUUUUAUUUAUUUUUUCAAUAUAGACAAUUUGAUGUAGUAUUUCUAAACUUAAUCGACCUAUUUUCACCCAUCAUGCCUAUGCCACUUACUUGCAUUUAAAAUGUCCAAGCUAAAAUAGUUUUGUCUCAAUGGGAUAAAAAAAAUAAAUUCAAAGAGUUCAAACUUUGCCACUCAUCCACAACUCCCUUAGUUUAAAUCAUCUGCAGUAUGUAACUUCCAUUAUCUAAUGAUAAAUAGAUUAUAGGUUACCACCAACCAUGUCUAGUAAGAACAAUAAAGUCCUAAAACAAGUUAUUUUUGCAUCAAACUACAUAGUUGCAUUGUUAAUUGUAUAUGGUUCUUGAAAGUACAUAACCAAGAAACAUUUUUUUCACUAUUUAAACAUAGUCUUGUUCCUCUAUUACACACAAGCUAUUAAGCUAAGGUUCCUAUUCAUAUUUUGAAAAAUAUCUUCCAUUUUCAAAACUAAAAAAGAACAUAAAACAAAUUAAUGAUGUGUGUGGUUCUCAAAUUUUUUUUUUCUUUCUCAACAAUUCCUCAUAAACAGUCAUCCCUAUAAACAUAAAAAUUUAAGAUAUAACAAAAAAAAAAACAUUUUUCCUAGAUAUUCUAAAUCACAAGAUCAUGAACAAUGGAAAACAACCAUUCUCGUUUCCAAAAUUCACUUCGUUUGAAAAUUUCUUUAACCAAAACAAAUUUUCUUUCUAUUUCAUUCAUGCCAAAAUGAAUCAAAAUACACCAAACCCCAAAAUAUAAGACCUUCAGUCUCAAUAUUUUCUCAACAACCAAAUAAAUCCUUAAAUGGAAAACUCAUUUGCGAUUGAUUAAUCCAAAUCAAGAGAAAGUUCCACUUCAGUUUCUAGAAACCUUAAAAAAAAUCCACCUUUGAUGAAGAAAUAUGAAAAUAUGGCUCCACUUUGGCUUCUUUGAAGGUUUUCGGAAGAUGGCUAUCAGGUUUGGGUGGUCGGCUCGUGAAGAGAGACACACUAGGGUUAGGCUAAAAUGAGACAAAGAAAGCUUUGGGAAGAUGGGUAUCCGUCUCCUAUUCAAGACAUUAAUAAAUAGAUUGGCUGUUUGUCUUUGUGUAUCAAACGAGCUAUGAAAAUGCGAAUUUCCUGAGAUGGGGUUAGGUCAAAAUGAGAGAAGUGGCAAAGAGAGUUUCUGUAAAUUUCAAAUGUUUCUUGGGUCAAGUGUUCUGUGGGUUUCAAAUUUGAGAACUUCAAGCUUCAGAUUUUUGGUGCACAUUAAAUUGCACACCUUCCUGCUGAUACGAACACCGGUGGGUGUUGACAAUGAGACAUUAAAGGGCAAUUUCAAAAAUGAAUAUGUAAACAGUAUAUAGUGCACGAGAAAGAUAAUAUUUUACCCAUUAAUAGGAAAAUCUCAUAUUUCAUUUACAUAGGAUUCCAUAACCAUAUAUUUUCCUAAUCAUAGGUUGGAAACACAAGUUUCCCAUGCUUUUAAAAUCAGUCAGAAGUAUAUCAACAUCUCAAAAAAAUACUCCUCCAAAUGCAAGUUCUGCUCACUAGGACCUCACACCACCAUCAUCACAUGCAAAUCUAUGUCUACCUUGAAAUUCAUAAACACUUGGAGUUGAGGUCUGCUUAGAAGCAGAGAGAUUGGGUGAAUGCUCUAAAACAAAGUCUGAUUUUCUCAAAACACGGAGACAUGGCGAACACCAAUGACAAAGCUGGAGUGCAAAUCAUUAUGUGUAGCAUGCCUUAAGAGAAUGAGCCUAUUUGUGAAGAGACACUAUGUCCAAGACAAAGUACACAUGCCUACCUACCCCCUAAGUUCCACUUUCACAUGAGAGGGCACAACUACCUAUGGGUGUGCCAUUCUCAAAGCCCACAAUUGUUGGGCAAAUGAUAAAGAUGACAUUGACCAAGGUGAAUCACACCACUCCCACCCAAAGCUUCUAAUACAAGAUGAGUAAGUACAGUUCAACCCUGACAACAAUCACUAACUUCAAUGAGUUUACGGUAUAGGUGUCGACACGAAGCAAGGAGUGGAUCAAAUUAUGAUGAAUACAGAUCAACAUGGGGAUGAGAAGAAUAUAUAGAAGGAGUUAGAUGGUUGCUUGGAAUCUGAGAAAUUUUAUGCUAAGGAAGGAGCAUAGAAGACUAACUGCAUCAUGGGAAGGUUCGCUAAGCUCUCAAUGGAAGUAUAGUUUUUACAAUUACGCGUGGUUAAGGAGAAUUACUAGGUUGUAUUUUUUUAAUGUAUUUGUUUUCGUGUUGAUUGUUUCUGUGUCCCAAAGAAAGGCAUUUUUUUGAAUGGGAAAUAGUAGCAUUUCCUUCGCACCAGAUUCGUACACGUAUAGCUCAAUGUUCAAGCAUCUACCAAUUCAUGUCAAUGGGAAUCUCUUUUUAAUAUGUCUACAAGGAAAUGGUUCACUCUGGAUGUCAAUUUGAUUAGAGCCAGAAUACAUUGCUACACGUGAAAACGUCCAGAGCUGGGAGAUGGUAGCUAUUGUAAUAUCCUCACAACCACCAAUAACUUGACAGUCUCAUUCAACAAUUACAGUACAAUAAAGUCAUGAAUCCAACGCUGGACCAUUUCACUGUAUAGAAACUCAAGUGCCACAUCACCACCAACUAUGUUUCCCAUUUGCUCUAUUGUAAUUCAAGAAUCAAAUAAAGGACACUAGCAUAUUCCGAUUGCAUUAGAACAUAAUUCUGAAAAGAAAAAAAACAAGGCCAUGUGUUACACGAGCAAAUUCACAUAAGGCAACACAAAGUUCUUCUUCCCAUAACCAAAGAAUUGCAUUUUUAUCACUAUGAAGAUGUCAAGGAAAUGAUGGAUACCCAAACAAAAUUUUGCAAAGAGCGGUCAUUAUCAAAUCAUAGAAAUCAGGAAAAUUUGAAAGCUACACAUCUAGGUUACAUGUGAGUGACCCCUCAAAUAGUUAUUUAGUGUGCCAUUUGUUGAAGAGAAAAAACAUUAUGUAGGUUCUCCUCCCAUGUUUAUGUCAUGUUUGUUUGGAAAACUUCAAGUUGGUAGUUUAAAAAGAUAAGGUGUCGAGUUUAGAUGGGUUUAGAAUGUGUUGUUUCAGAGAUAUGUGAAAACCCCAAAUGUGCAUCACGAACAGGUUCAGCUAGUCAUCAAUUAGAAGUAGUUAUGGCUUAUAUUUCAGGAUGAGCUACAACCUAUCACUCUUUUUGCUGCAUAACUAGCUCCUUAUACUAUUGCCCGAAAAAAGUUCUACUGUCUUAAGGGCAUGGCCACCUUAGUGCACACCAUCCUCCCCUGAUCAUUUCUUUUUUCUUUGUAACCUUACACAUUUUAAAUCUGAAUUUCAAUUUUUUUUCUCAAAAUAACUCCAAUUUUUUUUAAAAUACCAUACUUAGGAGUUUAUACACAUUAAAAUCCAAAUUUCAACAAACCUUUUACUAUCAUUUUCCUUCUGGCAUGCAUUUUCACUAUUUCCUUUGAUUUUCAAACAUUUUCUUGAUUUUCUUGAUUUCUAAUAAGCAUGAACAAAUUUCAUGGUUCCAAAUAAUGGAACUCAUUGAACCAAUUCAUGUAAAAGUAAUUUGGACCUUGGUAGGAGGUUUGAUAUUCUUGACUUCUUUUUCAACAUUGAUUCAAAUAAGAUGAUUGCUUGAUAUUUUGAUUGAUAUUUAUCCUCCUUAUGCUAAUUGAGAUUGUUUCACACUUGUUAUUGGACUAAUCUUGUUUUCUAUAGAAGCAUUAACGUUUGCUAACCAGGUAUACCUUCUCCAUCCUACUUUCCAAAAUUCUAUGAACAUGCAUGUUUUUGUGAUCCAUAUCUAUGUUUGAUUCCAUCCUUGGUUUCCUAGAUGUAGAAUUCUAUGAAUAUGCAUGUUACUAUGAUCCAUAUCUAUGUUUGAUUCCAUCCUUGGUUGCCUAGAUGUAGUAUUCUAUGAAUAUGCAUGUUACUGUGAUCCAUAUCUAUGUUUGAUUUCAUCAUUAGGUGCUUAGAUAUCUGUUUGAUUUGGUUUGACAAAAUACAUAUCAUAUGCUAUAUUUAUGUGUUAACUUUGAUGUCUAUGAUAGCGCUUGAAAAUCAAUCCAAGUACACAUCCUAACCUUUCUUUAUGAUUAUGAAUUGAUUUCUUUUUUACAUGCUAGUUUCGAAAUCACCUUAGCCUAUGUAGGUAUCUAUAAUCAACCGAUUAAUUGCCACAUUUUCUUUUACUUAGUUAGUAGAGACCUCUUUAGGGCUUAGACGGCGCUACCUCUUAGAGGUACCUUCUCAAUAGGUAACCUGAUCCUUAAACCAAGACUCGGGUUUUUCAAGACUUGUUUUUCCAAAACUAUAGAGUUACUUCUUUAAGGUUUUCUUUCUUGUUUUAUUUUCCUUUUAAAAAUAAAAUAAAAUAAGUGGUGACUCUAACUUUUCUAAAACUAAUUUUUCACCAAACAAAAGCGAGUCUCGCUGAUGAGUGGGGACACGCGUGAAAAAUGCGGGUCCACAAGUAUAUUUAUCUAGUUCACAAACUCAAAGUAUUACAAAUCAUGCUAAUAUAUCAAGUAAUAAAACAAAAAUCGAUAUGCCCAACCUAAAAUUAAAAGAAGACCAAAUGAAACAAAUAGAAAAUAGACAAUAAAUUCAAAACCUUUAAGGCCUAUACCUUUAAAGAUCAAUUGAUUAGGCAUAUGCUUAAGAAUUUCCUAAGGAAUUCAAACCUAAGAGAAUUGAGGGGUUUGGUAAAAAUAUCUACCAAUUGAUGUUCAGUGGGGACAAACUCAAGAGAGAGAACCUUUCCUUCAACAAGAUCCCUAAUGAAAUGAUUAUAGAUUUCAAUGUGUUUAGUACGAGAAUGAAGAACAUGAUUCUUUGAUAUGUUUAUAACACUAGAGUUAUCAUAGUGUAUGUUCAUGGUCCCUUGCUCAAUUUCAUAGUCUUUUAGCAUUUGGUUCAUCUACAUGAGUUGCGUUCAACAGUUUCCAAUAGCAAUAUAUUCAACUUCGAUAAUUGAUAAGGAUAUAGAGUUUUGUUUCUUACUAAGGCAAGCCACAAGACAAUCACCAAUAAAAAAACAAGCACCAGAUGUGAUUUUUCUAUCCUCAACAUUUUCGACCCAAUCAACAUUGGAAUAUCCAACAACCAUAAGAGAAGAAUCAUAGGGAUAUAACAAACCAUAAUCAAAAGUCUCAUUUAUAUAUCAAAUAAUUCUUUUAAUAAUUGUUAAGUGUGACUCUUUAGGGUUUGCUUGAUACCUAGUACAAGCUCCAACACUAAAAGAUAUGUCAAGAUGACUCACAGUGAGGUAAAGUAAGCCUCCUAUUAUACUUCUAUAAAGUUUUUGCUCAACAUAUUUUCCAAAUGCAUCCUUGCUAAGCUCAGUGGUAGUGCUCAUAGGUGUCCUAGGAUGUUUGGUGGAUUCUAGACCAAAUUUAUUAACUAAUUCCUUAACAUAUUUGGAUUGAGAAAGAAAGAUUCCAUCUUUUAGUUGCCUAAUUUUCAAUCCUAGGAAGAAAGUUAGUUCACCUACCAUGCUCAUUUCAAAUUUAGUUUCCAUCUCUUUAGCAAAACUAAGGGUAAGGUCACUAGAGGUAGCUCUAAAAACUAUGUCAUCAGCAUAAAUAUGAGCUACUAACAACUCAUCUUUGUACCUAUUUAUAAACAAUGUUCUAUAAACUCCCCCUCUCUCAAACUUUUUCUCCAAAAAAUAGGUUGUGAGUUUCUCAUACCAAGCUCUAGGUGUAACACCCUAAAUUAAUUUUUAGGGUUAAAGUAGUUAAAAAAAAGUAAUUAAAUACUUUAAUAAUGGUAGAAAGGUCAUUUUUCAAUUAAUAGUCUUAGGUAUAAAUUAGAUUUUCUUUUCUUUCAUGUCUUCUCUAUUAAUAAAACCCUAUUAACCAAAAAUCAGAGAUUUGGAGAAUGUAAGGCUAAAGGUUUGGAGGUCUAGGGUUUGAAGUCUAGAUUUUCUAGGUAAGAUUUUAACCCUUAAAUUCUUAUUUUAGAUUUGUUAAUUAGUUUUAAUAAAAUAAAUAAAUAAUAUUAAAAGAAUUCUUUGGAAGAUUUUGAUCUAGGCUAGGGUUGGUUUAUUUGAAUAUUUUUUUUUAGAUCAAAAUAUUGGAAAUUAUGAAUAUAGGUUGUUUUCUUAAUGAAAAUAGGGAAAUUCGAUUUUUUUUAAAUGAAUAGAUCUAAGUAAUGAAAUUUUCAAAUAAUAAUAAUAAUAAUAAUAAAAUAGGGUUUACGUGAUUUAUAGUUUUGUGUACAAUGAUGGUUAGAAAAUAUAAGUUUUACGUGAUUUUUGGAAGUGUAAAGAAAGCAAUAGUUAUAAGCAAAGAAAGGAAUGCAUAAUAAUAAUAAUAGGUUUUAUAGUUUUGUAUACGAUGAUGGUUAGAAAAUACAUGGUUUACUUGAUUUUUGGAAGUAUAGAGAAAACAAUAGUUAGAGGCAAAGAAAGGAAUGCAUAAAAUAAAUAAAUAAAUAAUUGUAGGUUGUGUGUGUAAGUGUGAUAGUGUUAUAAAUAAAAGAGAGAUAGAGUUGUAAUGGUGUAAAUUAUAAGGUAAUUUUUUGUGGCAGUAAGUAGAAGAAUAAAAAAGAAUAAUAAUAGUUAUAAUAUCUUAAGUGUUGAAAAUGGGGAUCAAAGGUAUUAAAAAUGGGGAAGUACUAAGUUAGGUAGUUGUUGGUUUAUUAAUAAUUAUAUUAAUGAUGGAUGUUGACUUAAUAAAUAGAAUAGAAUUUAAUUAGGGAAAUAAAUUGUGGUUUAAUUAAAUUAUGUUGUGUCCCUAUAAACAAAUUAGAAAAAAAAAAGUUUUAUAUGAAUUAGAAAUUUAUUAAUUUUAUUUAAAUAAGAAAUAGAUUAAAUUAUCUUUCAUAAUUAAAAAUAUUAAUUUGAACACCUAAAAUUUUUAGGAUUGUCAAACUUAUAAUUUUAGAUAAAUAGUAAUAAUUAUUUCUCUUAUGUUAUGUUAGGUGAAGAGUAGAUUCUUCAUAAUUAUUUUUCUCCACGGUUUUUAAGGACUUCUUUUGAGGUAGGAAAAUUAAUACAAACUUUGUAAAAUAAAAUAAUUUUUUUUUACAUAUGUUAUUUGAAAUGUGUGAAAGUUAUUUUUUUUUUAUACAAGGAUCAAAUAUAUUUUUGCAUGGAAAAAUUAUUAGAACUUUUCUUUUGUUUAUAAUAGAACAUAUGAAGAUGUUAUGUUUUCAUAGGUUUGAAUAAAUAAAACAAAGAAUUUGAAUCUGGUUUGUUUGAGCCAUGUCAACGGGAUAGAAUAGUUGACCUUGAGUUCAUCCCUUUUUGUUGAUAAUUUUUCAAGUACCCUUAGUUCAAGUGAGGAGUAACGGUUAGGAGGAGAAUUUGGCUUUAUUAGGACUUUUGUUUAAACUCUUUUUUGGGACUUUGUUUAAAUGUUAGAAUUUGAUUUCUAUUAGCUAUUGUUUAAGUUUGAAAUUGCUUAGACAGUAAUACUUUAGUUGAUAUGUCAGUUUUAAAGUUGAUAUUUGGAGAUGCUAGGAUUUUGUUUCACUACUUUGAAUAGGAAUUUGGAAAUUGAUAAUAUCCAGUUACAAGAUUAAUGUUUGUCUUUUCCACUUGGAGCAUUUGGGUUUGAGGUGUGAAAUGAGCAUCAUGCCCUUGGAAGGGGUUUUGGGACAAGAUAGAGUGGUAUUAGAGCGUUAGGUUAUGUUUUUGUUGGCAAUUUUUUUUAGUUUACUUUGGGGAUAGAUGAGUGACACAUUAGUUUAAGUUUUAGCUUCAUCUUAUAUAAAUUCUCAUUCUUUCUUCUAAUUUUAAAUUAUUUGAUUGGUUUCGUAGUGACUAAUUUAGCUAUACCUUAUGCUUUGUAGGAGAUCAUGCCACUAAGAAGACCAACAUCUUCCUUAAAUAGUCAGGCUAUUGAUAAUAUACCUCUUCCAGUUGAAAUAGUCAGGCUAAGAAGGCGUCUCAUGAAUGUAGAAAGGCUUUAUAGGUAUCUUGGGACUUUGGAUGGUUUGGUUGAGCAUUAAACUAGAGUUGUUGAGACUAAUGUUCAAGGAAAAUAUUCAUCUUCUAAGGGUAGCUCCUUUAAUGACUUUAAGAAGUUGGGUCCUCAUUUUUUUUGGCACUUCAAAUGUAAUGGAGGCAAAGGCUUGGAUUCUUAAGAUGGAGAAAUUAUUUGAUGUCAUAGAUUGCUCUAAGGGGCAAAAGGCCUCUUAUGCAACAAUUAUGUUAGAGAAAGAGGCAAAUCAUUGGUAGCAUAUGACCAAAAGGCUUUUAGAGAAUCAGGAACUUGUAGCAUGAAGACAGAUUAGGGAGGCUUUCUACAAAAAGUAUUUCCGUGACAAUGUUAGAUGACAAAAAGUGGGAAAGUUUGUUUGUUGGAACAAGGGGAUAUGACUGUGGCCUACUAUGAGGCCAAAUUUAUAGAGUUAUCACAUUUUGCCCCAUAGUUGAUUGCUACAGAGGAGAAAAAAACAUUAAAGUUUCAAGAUGGAUUGAAACCCUACCUAAAGAACAAUAUAUCUAUUAUGAAGCUUGGUUUCUAUUAAGAGGUUAUGGAGAGAGCCCUUAUUACGGAAAAUGAUGAUGAGAAGCUUCAUCAGUAUAGUGAACAAAAAAUGAAAAGGAAUAGGAGUAAUCAUGCUCAUGGUAACCAAGCAUAGAAAAGGUUUUCUUCCGUUAAAAAUCAAAAUAAAAGAAAGACAACACAAAAUUCAAAGGUGAUUUGUCCUACUUGUGGUAAGAAGCAUGAGGGUAUGCCAUGUUAUAGAGAGAUUGAAGCUUGCUUUGGUUAUGGGAAGUAGGGACAUAUGAUACAAGAUUGUCCAGAGAAUAAAAAGUUUAUCAUUGGGAAGCCUAAAAAUGAGAAUAAGGAAGAUAAACAAAAGCCUAAGGCCCAAGGGUGGGUGUUUGCUAUGACUCAUCGUGAUGGUCAGGCAACUUCCAAUGUGGUGAUAGGUACUAUCUGAAUCCACACUUUAUUUGCUAAAGCCCUAAUUGAUCCAGGAUAGACACACUAUUUUAUUUUAGUAUAUUUCGUUGGUUUUUUAGGUAUGCUUGUUGCUAGCAUGGACUUUGAUUUGAUUGUUGCUACUCCUAUGGGAGAUUCAGUUGUGGUUAGUAGAAUGCCUAGAGAUUGUCUUGUGAUGAUUGGUUAUAGGCAAAUACUAGUUGACUUAGUACUUCUUAACCCUCAGGAUUUUGAAGUAAUUUUAGGGAUGGAUUGAUUAGUUUCCUACCAUGCCUCUGUUGAUUGUUUUGGGAAAAGGGUGACCUUUAGCAUCCCUAGUCAGCUUAAGUUCAGUUUUGAGGGAAAAUAUGUAGAUAUACCACUACAUAUGUUCUUAGCUUUAUGAGCUAGGUUGUCAAGGCUUUUUGGCUUAUGUGGUGAGUGAUGAAAAUGAUUUAAAGUUAGAGGACAUACCCAUUGUAAGGGGUUUUCUUAAUGUUUUUCCAGACAAUUUGCUUGGCUUGCCACUAGAGGGAGGAGAGAGGGUGGAGUUUACCAUUGAUUUGGUACCAGGAACAACUCCUAUCUCUAAGACUAUAUAAGAUGGCACCUGUGGAGCUUAAGGAGUUGAAGGUUCAAUUUUAGGAGUUGUUAGGCCCAAUGUUUCACCUUAGGGAGCUCCUAUUCUAUUCAUGAAGAAGAAUGAUGGAUCAAUGAGACUUUGUAUUGAUUAUAGGGGGUUGAAUAAGGUGACAGUAAGGAAUAAGUAUCAUCUUUCUCGGAUUGAUGAUUUAUUUGAUCAGCUUCAAGGGACAUGUGUGUUUUCUAAUAUCGAUCUUUGGUCUAGAUAUCAUCAGUUGAGGGUCAAAGUUGAGGAUGUACCCAAGACUGCUUUUCAAAUUAGAUAUGGGCAUUAUGAGUUUUUGGUUAUGCCUUUUGGUUUGACUAAUGUACCUACUACCUUUAUGGACUUAAUGAAUAGAGUAUUUAAACCCUAUCUAGAUCAAUUUGUGGUUGUUUUUAUAGAUGAUAUUUUGGUGUACUCAAGGAGUAGAGAAGAGCAUGAGCGCCAUUUGAGUAUCGUAUUGCCGACCCUAAGGAAUAAGUAGUUGUAUGUUAAAUUGAAGAAGUGUGAGUUUUGGUUAGACAUAGUCUCUUUUCUUAGUUAUGUGGUAAACAAGGAUGGAAUCUUAGUUAACCUUAGAAAGGUAGAUGUUGUUGCAAAUUGGAGCAGACCAGCACUGUGACUAAGAUCCGAAGUUUCUUGGGAGUUGCUGGUUACUACAGGAAAUUUAUUAAGGGGUUCUCUAAGAUCGCCCUACCUUUGUGAUUACUACUAAAAAGUGUUAUUUUGUAGACCUAAUUAUAAUGGUUUUAAGCACCUUUGAGUAGUAAUCAUAUUCAUUUAACCCAAUUAAUUCAUUAAGGUCCUUAGUAAUUGGUUUUAACCAUUUUGUGGCAAGUUUACAUGUUUUUAUCAUCUUAUGAAUCAAUUCAAGCAUGCCAAAUGAUGGAGGAGCUACUUGGACAAGUUAAAGCAAGGAUUUUGGAAGUUUACAGGCUUGAAUUUCAAGUGGAAACACGAGCACAAACAAAGGGAUAGCCAUUUCGCAAGGCAAGGCAAUUCCACAUGUGCAUUCCUUGUUGGAUUCGAGACCAAGAGGGAACCCUGGUACAAGUUGAAGAAAAGAGCCUUAGUUGAAUAUCAUUUUUUUAGAAAUGGAAAUUCCACAUGAAGAUCAAAGCUCUCAUUAUGAUCAUGAGAAUGACAAAUUUGCAUACUUAUCCAUGAGGGAUCAGAUUGAAUUAGGAAAAAGGCAAGUCCAACAAAGCCAAUGGGGUAGUAAGUAUGCUUUGAAUGAAGACAUGAGCAUGAAGGCAAAGCUAGCAUCUAUGGCUAGAAGGAUAGAAGAGUUUGAAUUGAGGAAUGUGCAUAUUGAAGCACAACCGCAAGCCAUGCUGUAGACCCCCAUUUUGGGAGCACUUUCUUUUUGAAUUUGUUGCAGCUUAUUUGGCCAGAUGGAGCAUUUCUAGGAGGCCACGUGUCGAUCCCUGAUUGGCUAUCAUGGAAUCAGAACAGUGUUUUUGAAAGCCAAUCAGAGAUUGACACCUGGCAAGGAGGAAUCUGCAAAAGCUGCAGGUUGUUGAGGGCUAGCAGAGCAGCUGCAGGAGAGGAGGGAGUUUUUCGGUGCUGGUCUGGGAGAUGUUUUGAGGAGGAGAUUUUUUUUUGAAAAGGAGAACCAGAGAGGAGAGGCUGCAAGCUAGAAGGGAGGAGUUUUCCAUUGCUAGAGGAGGUGGUGUCGUCUGGCCGUAGGAGAGAGAUAUUUUUUGGAGCUUUCAGGAGGCAGGGGAAAAACACUAAAAAAAAAAAGAGGAGGAGAGGGGUUUUCUGAGGGUAUUCUGUAACUAAGGAGACUUUGGAGGGGAAAUCUGUUGGCUGAGAGAGCAAGCUGCAAAGGGAGGUUUUUCAUGGCUUUUUAACAGAGGACCUAAGGCGUUUACAGCUGAACAGAGCCUUACUGGAAAAGGUUCUCUCAGGUAUGAAUGCAACUGACUUAUUGUUUGAUUUGGAUUCUUAUUACUCCUCUACGUUUCCUAUUGAUGUUUGAGUGAUUGUUGGUUUGCUUGGGGUGGAUAAUGAAGGCCACUUAUUACUUGUUGAGAUAUCAUCCUGAAUUCAUGCUUGUUUUUGUUAAUCUUGGUGUGCCAUGUCUCUGUUAUGAAAUACCCAAGAAUCCUUCCAAUAUUUGCAUUUAGUGCUAUUUUUCUCACCUAAGAAGAAGGUUCACUGAUAACUCAUGAAGUGGAGCCUCAUUUGAUGACAUCUUUAUUUUGUUUUCUUUUAUGCUCUGUUUCCAUGGUUUCUUCCUUCUUGUGGCUCUUAUCUAAAUGCAUGGGAUGUGAGGAAAAGACUCGGAUCUGGUUAUGAGCUCCAAUAAGGAUACAUGUCCUCAGGCUGAAGCUGUUAUCAAAGAGCAGGCGGGUCAGACUUCUGUAUAAGCUCCGCGAGAAAUCCUUGGGAAAUGAUCUGGGAAGGUCUCUCGUGAAGCUAUGUUAAGUUGGCCAGAAGAGCAUUUCUAUGUUUCAACAACUCCAAGUCCUAUCAGUGUUAGUUUUGAAGGUGGUUAUUAUAGUGCGAAUGGACUAUGGUUUGGUGAGUAGGGUUUUGCUAUGGGAGGUCAAAGACUCAGUUGAUUAAAUGGUCAGCUUUCAGGAUUAGCUACUGCCUCAUUUGUUUGUAAAAGAGGUGUCCAAAGAGUUUUCUUCCUAGAUGGCAGCAUUACGAAACACUUGUCUGCUUGACAGUUGGAAUGGUGGCACCCAGAUUCCAGCUACACUUUCUUUUAUCCCUAGCUUCUUUAGUUACUCUUGGUCAUGCAUGCCAAUCAUGGCUUCUUUAUGGACCCUGAGGCAGUGAUGGUGUUGAUACUUUUCUUGGCCACAGAUUUGGUUCUCAUUAUUCUGGAGAGAUGUCCCCAAUCGUCCUUGGAAUCCUCUACCUAAGAAUGCAUCGGGAUGUUAGAGAUGUCAUGUUCAUGGCAUGCCGUUGUCUUCUCCCUUCUAAUGUGGUCUAUUAGAGAUUUUGUUAACUGUGGGCUAUUCAAGGAGACUGGAGGAAUUGAAGAAAGUCGGAUAUGGGACGAGAUGCAGACAAAUUUUCUCUUGCUGCCAUAAGGGUUUAAAUUAAGAUUGCAGUUUUCACUGGGCGCCUCGUUCAUUUAGAUAUCCGAGAAUUAACUUUGGUUCAAUAUUUGGCUAAUGAUCAUGUUGUUGUUAAUGGUAUUGGAAUCAUAAUUGGUGAAGACUUUACAGAAACCGUUGGAUCACGCUACAAUCUUCAUCAGUGAGCUUGUGAUAUCAAAAUCUCCGGUGGCGACCAUGGCUCCGAUUGCAAUUGGCGACGUUAUUCCGGAAGGGAUUCUGACUUAUUUCGAUGAGCAAGAUCAGCUCCAGUAGGCUUCAGUGUACCCCUGGCUACCGACAGGAAGGUCAUCAUUUUCGGUGUUCCCGGUGCUUUCACUCCCACUUGCAGCUUGAAGCACGUGCCAGGCUUCAUUGAGAAGGAAGGAGAGAUGAAAUAAAAAGACAUUGAUGAAAUUCUGCUCGUUAGCGUUAAUGACCCCUUGGUGAUGAAGGCAUGGGCAAAGAGCUUACCCUGAUGACAAGGAUGUGAAGUUCCGGGCUGAUGGCUCAGCAACAUACAUGCAUGCGCUUGGCCUGGAGCUUGAUCUUUCAGAGAAAGGCCUUGGCACUCAGUCCAAGAGGUUUGCCCUCUUGGUGGAUGACCUUAAGGUGAAGGUUACAAACAAUCAGAUUUAGCAAGCCAAUGCAUUCAUAAGAGUUUGAUGCCGGUGCAGCCACCAACAGUUUAAGAGACACACUUAAUUUGUCUCCUAGAAAGAGCAAGCAAAGCCGUCCUUGAACGAGCCGCCGGCGGCGAAAUGCCUCCGCCAUCGCCAGAACGUCAAGCAACCUUUGAAGCUCUUCCACUUUCCCUCUCCACCGUCUGAUGGCCGCGAUCUUUUUCCUGGAUCCCACUUCCAGUGCUCCGCUGCUGUGCCGGGUCAAGAUCUCCUUUGCCGACAACGUCCCUCUGCUUCGACAAGCUUCCAGAAACACCGCCCGGAAUGUGGUGCACUUGGACCCACCGUGUCACAAUGCCAGGUGUAAUUGAUAAUGCUGAUAGUGACAGUGACCUGGAAGUAGUUGCAGAUUUCUUUACUGUCAAUCUACGAUGUCUUAUGAGUGGUUCAAGAAUGAAGGUUGCUGGAAGAUUCAAACCUUGUGCUCACAUGGGCCGUUCUGAUCUUGAAAUUUUUGUGGAAAUGAACCAACGUUCUAGGAAGUGACAGUGACAAAGAUAGUGAAUAAUAUGAACAGGUUGAGGCCCUCUCCUCAACGCGACUUGGAUUCAAAUGCUGGAACAGCAAUGCGUCCAUUGACGGCUGCAGUUACAGCUGCUGGUGGAAAUGCAAGCUAUCAAUUGUUGGAAGUAAUGAUGAUUCUCUGGGCAUGCUCGGGAUAAAUAGUCAACUGAAGAAGUGAUUAAAUGAUAGGGUUUUGGAUGCAUUGGUACCUAAAGAAAGAGGCAUGUGAAAAGAGAUAGGUCACGGCUGGCAAGGAUUUUAUUUAUCAGGCGUCAUGAGAACUUGGUCUCCUGUCAUGUGGACUCACUAUACUCAUUAAAUAAGGAACUUCAGGGGCAGCUAGUAGCUGGGCAAGAAGACAUUCGCGCAGCAGAUUUGAGUGAGUGCUGGACGGGAGUAGCUUUGGAUCAGAACGGGCAUUUACUACCAGGAACAUGUGAGGCCGCGGCUGAAAGAGAUUUAUGGACAUUGUUCCAAGCAUGGAAGGGCAAGUCUGCAAACAAUUUCAGCGUGUUCUCGAGAAACAAAAGAUGCAGUCCAUGUUCAGAAUAAAGGUAGCAAGUGUUGAUACAUCUGGAGACCUUGUCAAAUUGACACUUGAACCAGCAGCCAGUGGUGAGCAGAGCACACUUGAGGCUGAUUUUGUUCUGGUCUCAGCUGGCGUCCGUGCUAUUGAUGAUGUAAUUCUAGGUUCCAUGUUAACUCAUAAGGCAGAAGAGGAGGGGAGCUUAUAGGUGCAAGAGUUGACUGAAUUGGAGAGACAAGGACAAGAGGUGUCUGUGGUGAGAUAGAUGUGAUUUGUUACAGGCCACAACUGUUCACGGCUCGGACCAAGUGACUGUGCCAGCCGCUUCGUCUGAAUCGGACUGCACUUCUAAAUCUUGUUCUAGCGAACGUUGGAGAUGGAGCAGUAAUCAUAAACAAUCUACUUCAGCAUUUGAAAGAGCACAAAAACCCAGUAAUAGAAGGAGUUUUGGCUGACAUAGAGAGCAUGCUGGUUCAGGGAAGAAUGGAAUUGCCUCUCAGCUUGUGUUUUGCAGUUUUGAGAAGAGAUGACCUAUUGUUGUAUCAGUUGCUGAAACGUGGUUUGGAUCUAAACGAAUUGGACAACAACGGAUGAAUUCCUCUGCAUAUUGCAGCGUUCAAAGGGAGAGCCAAAUCUAAAAAUAGACUUUUGUUCUACCUAUUCAUAGGAAGAAGAACUCCCAGUGCAAAUUCAAAGUUCUGAAGUUUUGCUGCUUCCCUACAAGGAAGAAACAUCAACUGCUGUACAGAUCACAACAAAACAAGUUGGGUCUUCAGUAGUUUCAGGCUCCAAUGCAGAAUUAUUGGACUUUGAUAGCUGGUUCACAAGGCUCCUCAUUCAUAUGGCCACCUCGGGGUACCUCUGAUCAGUCCUCGCCUAUAAUCAAUUUCAGUAUACUCAUGAUAUUGCAGUAUUCAUCACUUUGGUCCCGUUGGGAUUUUAGAGAAGGCAUGCAACUGGCGUUCAAGGUGCACCAAGUUCAGAAUCCCACUUGUGCACUGGACCUAUAAGCACGACCCGUUUUGUAUGGCCACCUUUGGCAUGCAACCAAGGGGCCACGUGUCAUCUUCCAUUUUCUCCAAUCCUCUUUGAUUUUGAAAAGGAUUUUCCCCAAACUUCAUUUUGUAAAUAAUUUCCUAAAGUCUGGUUUUGAAAUAACUUCAAGUCUCCAAAGCUUUCAUCCUUAGAGUUUUUAGGACUCAAAAUCCCAUUUUCAAUAAAAUUUGGUUGCCAUUUUCCUUCCGGCAAGCCACUUUUGAAUUUUCUUUGUUUUCUAAAAAUGUUUUAAAAUAAGCAAGGAUUAAAUUCUGUAAUUCCAAAUAAUGGUAUUUAUGGAAUUAAUUCAUGCAAAAAUGAACGGGCUUUGGUGGGGGCCCCACAUACUUGACUUCAUGAUUGAUUGACUAAUCGAUUGAUUUAUUUGCCAUGCAUGAUUGGUUUACUCUAUUCCUUGAUAUGCGUUUAAUUAUAUCUGUUCAUUGUUCACCGAUCCUGUUUCAUGAUAGCGCAUUUGUCACUGGAGGUCCAGGUACACACUCAUUCUCAUUUUGAUUAUUCUCUAUGCAUGCGCUUAUUUUCAUAUGUGCAAGUUUGAUUUGAGUAUCCGCUGAUUUCCUCAUUGAUUGCCACGUCAGCUUCAGUCUAUUAGUAGAGACCCAACUUUAGGGACUUAGAGGGGUGCUACGGUCUUUACCGUACCUUCCCAAUAAGUAACCUGACCCCCGAACCCGAUCCGGUUUUUCACAGACCGCCUUUUCCAAAAUAAGGAGUCACACUUAGGGUUUUUCUUUCUUAUUUUGUUUACCCUUUAAAAAUAAAACAAAAAUAAGUGGCGACUCCAAGUCAUUUUUCUUAAUCAAUAAAAAUCAAUUUUUUUCAAAUAAAAAUCGAACUCGCCAUUCGAGUGGGAAACGCAUUGAGCGAAUCGAAAAUGCGGGAUCCACACAUGCCAACUUCAUUUGAGUAUAUAAACCAUCCCAAGCUUACAAGCUAACCUUAACAUCAACCGAAUGACAAAUUCGCAUACCUAUCCAUGAGGGAUCGGAUUGAAUUAGGGAAAAGGCAAGUUCACCAAAGUCAAUGGGGUAGUAAGUAUGCUUUGAAUGGAGAUGAUUCAUAUGAGCAUAUGGUAGGGGAGUGCCCUACCAUUCCAACUAUGAGAGACAUGUACGGUUACCAAAGCUCCUUUACCUCAAGUUGGAAUAACCAUCCCAACCUUACAACCCAACCUCAACCUCAACCAUCAAUGAGUACAUCUUCAUUGGAGCAAGCCAUUUUGAAGAUAAGCAAAGUCAUGGAGGACUUUGAAGGUGAGCAACAAAAGAUCAACUCUCAUCUUAAUGAAAAGAUUGAUAAUUUGGAGAGUUCAAUAAAUGUAAGAAUGGAGGGGGUUUAUAAUGAUCUAUCACUAAGGAUAGAAAAAGUUCAAGACUCCAUUGAGAAACUCACCAAUCUCGACAUAGCAAGGGGGAAAAGGAAGCUUCCUCCUCAACCCCACCAUAACUUUCAAGGAACCAAUGCAAAAAGAUCAAGGAAAGUGUUGAAGAUCGACACUUUGGUGGGGAAUUGCUAUGACAACUCUAUGGACCAACCUUUUAUUGAAAAUCAUAAGGUUCAAGAUGAUAAAGGGUUACCUGAACCCUUUAAAGCAUCCACUUCUCCAGGGAAGAGAAGAGAAACGAAUUCCCUUGGACCAAAUGGGAAGGAUGCCAAUUUUGUUUGGAAUCCAGGGGGAAUUCAGCAUGAAGUGGGUGUGUGAGUGAGGAUGAGCUAAAUAGUUCAUCUUCUUUUUGGGGUACAUGCUAUCAGCUUCAUUUAAAUUCUAUGCUUUCUUUAAAUUUAUGCAUGUUUUAGUUUGAAUUCUUAGCUUUAAUUUAGUUUUAAUAUGUUUUUAAGAUGAGUUUUGAAGUGUUCAUGCAAGUACGAUGCUUGCAAAAAUCAAAAUGGAGGUGAAACAGAGGAAAUAGGGGAGCCAAAAAGCAUAAGCAAAGCUCUCAGUGGAAUUUCGCACCAUAAACACACUCAGUGUGAAUUUUUCGCACAGUGAUAGUGCAUGGUGCGAAAAGGAAUUUCUAUACAUUUUGGAAAGCCAAGCCUCCCGGGAUGCUAUCUUCGCACCUCAAUUACCAGUGCGAAAACUUUCGCACCUUGUUUAUCUUGGUGCGAAAUGAUUUUCAAGCUAAUUUCUAAAAACAAAGCUCUCGGGAAGGCCUUUUUCUUGAAUUCCAUGUUUUUCCAAAGUUUAAAAAUUCAUGAAUGCAUUUCCAAACCUUUUGUUUUCAAAUCCAAACCCAAUUUCUUCCAAAAACAAACACCAUUCUAAGCCAAAAAAUACUAUUCACCUUCUUCCACAACCUCCAUAGCCGCACACCACCAUUCUUAAUUCUCCACCCUUCACCAAUUUUCUAGUUUUCUCCCAUUAGAAACCUUCCCUUCAUCCAUUCUAAGCCUUAGGAACCCAAUUUUAGAAAUCUCAUCCAUCCAAAACUUUUUAAAAAUCGAAUUUCAAAACCAUUCCAUGCAUGGCCGUCCACUUUGAUUUUCAUUUUCCAUCAUUUAAUUUUGUUUUUCAUCAUUAAAAAACUACCCAAACACCUUAGGAAUCUUGUUUAGAGCCUAACCAUACCUUUUAAAAAAACCAUUUUUGAAUUUUUUCCCAAAACUUAGAAAACACACAAUCGGGCUUCAACGGAGGUGAAUAGUGACUAUGCUAAUUUUGGCACUCACUGUUCACUCCUCCUUUGUUUUCCCCUGUUUUAGCCAAAAAUCUCCAAUUUUAACACCCCUGCAAGCUACAUUCAAAUGUCAUUGCAACUUAUAUGAGUAUACCAUCAUGGCAUGGACCCUUUGAGCCUUGUCUUCAGCUACUCAAAGUGGGGCCCACUCAUCAUUUUUGUAAAUAUUUAGUAUAAAUUCCUCUCUCAUUCAAUUUUUGAAUUUUGAAACAGGUGGUUCAACCUUCUCAACUCCAAGUCCACAUCACAUGAGGUACCACUUCCUUCCUCCUUAUUUUUGAUUCAAACAUUGAGGACAAUGUUCAUCUCGGUUGGGGGAGAGAGAUAAGGAAGUAAGUAUUAGUUUAAAUUUUUAUCAUACUUAGUUAAAUUAGCUACUUUUUGUUUAAAUUUUAAAAUUUUUGCUUUAAACUCCAUGGAUAUUAAGGAUUAACUCUCAAAAUUAAAUGAGAGAAGUCGAGUUUCAACUUGAUUACAUGAGUCUUAGAGUUUGUAUUAUGCUCUUCUAAAAGUUGAUGAAUUGUUGAAACUCUCAUUGCAUGCAAACUUAUCUCUUCCACCUUAAGCUAUUCGCACACACAUACAUUAGAUUCCGAUUAUAAGAUGUGAAACUAUCUCACCCUCUAAGCUUGAGAAAUCAUAAUUUGACACCUUUAACCUCUCUUUAAUAGUGUUGGUACACCUCAUAAAGAUCAAUGAGUCUUUGAAAAAAAAAAUAGAAAAAGAAAAAGAAAAAGAAAAAAAAAUAGAAUAAACUUCUUUGCUUGCCUUGAAACCUGAGCAUGGUCCGAAGGGGUGGCGAAAUCCUUUAAAACCUGAUGCCCUAAGCCUUUAUUGGUUGGGAGUCACCGAUCCUCUGCUUGUUACAUGGGUGAAUUGGUUAAGUUUAGUAAGUGAAAAGAAUUGUGAAUAAGAGGUGCGUUCCUAGCCUAUCAAGAGAUGGUUAAUUUUGCUAAGCUUAAAGAAAGAAUUAGGUUGGGGGAAGAUGAUAGUUAUCCAUACUAUACUCGGAAGCUAAUCACAUUAACACUUAGCUUUUAAUGGAAGAAUUUGAUUUGGAUCUUUUGAGAGUGGAAAUUCUUUUGAUGCUUAAACUUGCAUAAUAUCCAUUCUUUGUACUCUAUGAUCAAGUGAAUGCUUUGACAACUCUUAUUAUAGGUUGAGUUUCACAUCUUUAUUGAUCCAUGGAUGUCCAUCAUGCCACUCAUAUCAUUUUUUGGAGUGAUUUGCAUGAUCCCUUUUAUGCAUAUUAUUAUAGUUUACUUAGUUUUUUAUCUCCUCCAUUGCUAAGGGACUAGCAAUGAGUCGGUUGGGGGUGUGAUUACUACCAAAAAGUGCUAUUUUGUAGACCUAAUUAUAAUGGUUUUAAGCACCUUUGAGUAGUAAUCAUAUUCAUUUAACCCAAUUAAUUCAUUAAGGUCCUUAGUAAUUGGUUUUAACCAUUUUGUGGCAAGUUUACAUGUUUUUAUCAACUUAUGAAUCAAUUCAAGCAUUCCAAAUGAUGGAGGAGCUACUUGGACAAGUUAAAGCAAGGAUUUUGGAAGUUUACAGGCUUGAAUUUCAAGUGGAAACAUAAGCACAAACAAAGGGAUAGCCAUUUCGCAAGGCAAGGCAAAGUACCUUGCCAAAAUGCAAUUUUCGCAAGGUGAAAAUGCACCUUGCCAAAUUUGGCAAGGUGAAUUUACUCAUGAUGCGAAAAUAUGGCACUUCACGUCAUGAGUAAUUCACCUUGCAAAAAUUUCGCAAGGUGCCUUUUACCUUGCAAAAAUUUUGCAAGGUGCCUUUUACCUUGCCAAAUUUCCUCUGUUUCUCCACGCACGCACCACCGACUUCCCAGAUAUUUUUAGCUUGAUAUUUUCUCAUGUAAAUUCCUUUUGUAACCUUGUAUUCAGCCGACAUAAGGCUUUAUCUUGUAAUUUUGCUAUAUAUAGAGGUGCACAACACCUCCAAAAUAUAUUGGGGGAUCGAUCAUUUGUACAUUAACUUAGAAAUAUAUAAAGCUCUGUUUUUCUCUCUUCUCCUGUUCUUCCCCAUUUCUAUUUUCUUAGUAGCCAAACAGCCUCCGAGGGCUUUUCCUCAGAGGAUGAUUAGCUAAAACUUUUAGUUUCUCAAAGUAUGGAUGUUAUGUGAUGGCUUGGAUGCAAUCCCAUGGAAAUUUCUCGCACCUGGAAGGUAAGGUAGUCGUUUUUCAUUAAUGGUUCAUUAAUGCAAAUUUUGGUUUUUAUUUCCUUUGGACAACUUCGGCCAAUACUUGAUAAGCUUUUGGAUUUCUAUCCAUGAGUUAUCUCCUACGAGCUAUUGGAAGGUGAGGUUUUCAAUUACAAGUUUUGCAUUAAUCCAUUAGAACCAAUUUCAAUGGCCAUUGAAAGGUGAGUUUAUCACCUGGAAUGACUUUGAGUUGCCAAUAUUUGGUAAGCUUUUGGCUUUAGACCAUUAGUUAUCUCUUACGAGCCAUUCAAAGGAAGUCUAAGGUGAAUAACCAUUGAUGAAAUUCACUACCAUCUGUUUUGCCAUUUUAAAGGAUUAAAACUUGAUUUGCUAAAUCCAUACCGGUUCGGGAAGCAAGCAUCACCAUAGUUGCAACCCCAACGCGAGGAGCCUAUCUUGAGAUUUCCAAUUUGCAUAAGAGCCAGAGCAUAGCUAUCCUAUCUUUGAGAAACUUGUUUUUACACCCUUUCAUUUUAGUCUUUAAUGUUAGCUUAGAUUAGUUUAAAUCUUUCUAAAACAUUUACAUAUUCUUUUAAAGCUAACAUCCAUAAGAAAAUCACCUAUUUUUCUAAUUUGAAUAUCACUAGUGUUUGCGAAAACCCUUCCCAGUGAACGAUCCUAGAACCACUAUGCUAUAGUAGCUUGGCUACUUUAGUAAUAGUAUUUAAGGUAUAAAUUUUGUUGAUACACCUUUAAAGCUAAGCUACCAUGAGUCGCAUCACUUUGACUAAGUUGACAAAGAAAGGGGUUAAGUUUGAGUGGUUUGAUAAUUGUGAAUGUAGCUUUCAAGAGUUGAAGAGCAGAUUAGUAAGAUCCCCUAUUUUGACUAUGCCUUCAAGCUCAAGAGGAUUUGUGGUGUAUAAUGAUGCCUCUCAUUAGGGUUUGGGUUGUUUCCUUAUGCAGCAUGGGAAAGUUGUGGCUUAUGUUUCUAGAUAAUUGAAGCCUUAUGAGUGAAAUUACCCCACUCAUGAUUUGGAGUUGUCUAUAAUGAUUUUUUCACUUAAGAUUUGGAGACAUUUUCUUUUUGGUGAAACUUGUGAGAUAUUCUCAAAUCAUAAGAGAUUAAAGUAUUUGUUUUCUCAAAAGGAAUUGAACAUGAGAUAGAGAAAAUAAAUAGAACUACUUAAAGACUAUGACUAUAUUAUUCAAUAUCAUCCAGGGAAGGCAAAUAUUGUAGUUGAUGCCAUAAGCAUGAAAUUAGUUGGUUCCCUAGUAGCUAUUAAAGGAGGUCAAAAGUGAUUACUAGAGGAUUUGAGAAGUUUACAAGUCCAUAUUAGAGGUUUGGACUCAGGCACACUUGUGGCAAAUUUCAAAGUACAACCAGACUUAGUUGGGAUAAUUAAGACUUUAUAAAACAAUGAUUUGCAAUUAGUGCAACUCAUGGAGGGAAUUAAGAGAGGUAGUAAGCCUGACUUUGUUUUAUCAUAUGAUGGGAUCUUGAGGUUUGGGAUUAGACUUUGUGUCCCAAAUGAUGGAGACUUAAGAAGAAAGCUUUUGGAGGAAGCUCAUUGUUUUAAGCUUACAAUCCACCUAAGAGGGAUAAAGAUGUACACAGAUUUGAGAUAGAAUUAUUGGUGGUCAGGUAUGAAGCGAGAUAUUGCCCAAUUUGCAGCUCAGUGUUUGGUGUGUCAACAGAUGAAAACUAAGCAUGAACGACUUGUAGGGUCUUUACAACCCCUUUCUCUUCUUGAAUGGAAGUGGAAACAUAUUACUAUGGAUUUUAUGACAGGGUUGCCAAGAACCUUAAGGGGUAAUAAUGCUAUUUAGGUGAUUGUUGAUCAAUUAACAAAGUCUGCUCACUUUUUACCCAUGAAAGUCAACUUCUUUAUAGACCAUUUGUUUUCUCUAUAUGUUAAGGAGAUUGUAAGAAGGCAUGGGGUACCUAUUUCUAUAGUGUUCGAUAGGGAUCAUCGAUUUUCUUCUAGAUUUUGGCAUAGUCUAUAGAAGACUCUAGGCACUAAUUGAGUUUCAGUACUAUUUUCCAUCAUCAGACUGAUGGUAAAUCAGAAAUGAUAAUUCAGGUUUUGGAAGAUGUGUUGAGAGCUUGUGUUUUAGACCUAAAAGGUAAUUGGGAUGAUUACUUACCUUUAGUAGAGUUUCCUUAUAAUAAUAUCUUUCAAACUAGCAUUGGGAUGAUGCCUUUUAAGGGAUUGUAUGGUAGGAAAUGUUGAUUUCCUAUUUGUUAGGAUGAUAUUAGGGAAAGGAAACUUUUGGGACUUAAACUUGUGCAGUUGACUGUUGAAAAGCUUGCCUUGAUUAAAAAAAGAUUGAAAGCAACUCAAAGUAGAUAGAAGAGUUAUGUUGACAAUCACAGGUGAGAUUUGGAGUUUGAGGUAGCUGAUCAUGUUUUCUUAAAGUUUCACUUAUUAAGUCAGUGAUGAGAUUUGGGAGUAAAGGAAAGCUCAGUCCUCAAUUUGUGGGCCCAUUCAAAAUAUUAGAAAGAGUAGUCACUUUGGUGUAUAAAGUGGUCUUACUCCCAAGCCUAUCUAAGAUGCAUAAUGUAUUCCAAGUUUCGACUUUGAGAAAAUAUGUUUUUAUCCCUCUCAUAUUGUGGAGUUGAAGCCUAUUCAAAUUUCUAAGGACUUGAUUUAUGAAGAAGUACCCAUUCGAAUUGUGGAUGUGAUGGACAAGGUACUACAUCAUGUUGUUGUCAAGUUGGUAAAAGUCCAAUGGAGCAAUCACAGUAUUUGAGAAGCCACUUGGAAAAUAGAAGAGGAGAUGAGAAAAAAACUUUCACAUCUUUUUCAAGACCCAUGUAUGUUAAGUUUAGAGGAAUAAACUUUUGUUAAUGAGGAGAGAAUGUAACACCCCAAAUUAAUUUUUGGUGGUAAAGUAGUUUUUUUUUUAAAAAAAGUAAUUAAAUACUUUUAAUAAGGGUAGAGAAUUCAUUUUGUGAUUAAUAGUCUUAGGCAUAAAUUAGAUUUUAUUUUCUUUCUUGUCUUCUCUAUUCAAAAAACCUCAUUAACCAAAAAUAAGAGAAUUGGAGAACGUAAGGUUGAAAGUUUGGAGGUCUAGGGUUUGAAGUCUAGAUUUUCUAGGUAAGAUUUUAACCCUUAAAAUAUUAUUUUAGAUUUAUUAAUUAGUUUUGAAUAUAUAUAUAUAUAUAUAUAUAUAUAUAUAUAUAUAUAUUGGAAUAUUUCGAUCUAGGCUAGGUUGGUUUAUUUGAAUGUUUUUUUUUAUAUCAAAAUAUUAGAAAUUAUGAAUAUAGGUUGUUUUCUUGAUGAAAAUAGGGCAAAUUCAAUUUUUUUUUUUUAAAAUGAAUAGAUCUAAGCAAUGGAAUUUACAAAAUAAUAAUAAUAAUAAUAAUAAUAAUAAUAAAAUAGGGAUUACUUGAUUUCUAGAAGUGUAUAAUAAUAAUAAUAAUAAUACUAAUACUAAUAGGUUUUAUAGUUUUGUGUACAAUGAUGGGUAGAAAAUAUAGGGUUUACAUGAUUUUUGGAAGUGUAGAGAAAGCAAUAUUAGAGGCAAAGAAAGGGAUGCAUAAAAAAAUUUUAAAAAUUAAAAAAUUUGUAGGUUGUGUGUGUAAGUGUGAUAGCGUUAUAAAUUAAAUAAAUAAAAAAUGAGUUGUUGUGGUGUAACUUGUAAGGGAAUUUUUGGUGGUAGUAAGUAGAAGAAUAUAUAUAUAUUAUAUCAUAAGUGUUGAGAAUGAGGAUGUAAGGUAUUGAAAAUGGGGAAGUACUAGGUUAGGUAGUUGUUGGUUUAUUAAUAAUUAUAUUAAUGAUGGAUGUUAAGUUAAUAAAUAGAAUAGAAUUUAAUUAAUAAAAUAAACAAUAGUUAAUUAAAUUAUGUUGUGUCCCUAGAAACAAAUUGGAAAAAAAAAGUUUUAUAUGAAUUAGAAAUUUAUUAAUUUUACUUAAAUAAGGAGUAGAUGAAAUUAUCUUUCAUAAUUAAAAAUAUUAAUUUGAAUAUUUAAAAUUUUUAGAAUUGUAAAACCUAUAAUUUUAGAUAAAUAGUAAUAAAAUUUCUCUGAUGUUAUGUUAGGUGAAGAGUAAAUUCUUCAGAAUUAUUUUUCUCCAAGGUUUUUGAGGACUUUUUUUAGGUAAGGGAAAUUAAUCUAGACUUUGUAAAAUAAAAUAAAUUUUUUUAUAUGUUAUUUGAAAUGUGUAAAUGUUACUUUUGCUUUGAUACAUGGAUCAAAUAUAUUUUUGCAUGGAAAAUAUAUUAGAACUUUUCUUUAGUUUAUAAUAGAACAUAUGGAGAUAUUAUGUUUCUGUAAGUUUGAAUAAAACAAAGAAUUUGACUAUGGUUUGUUUGGCCUAAGCCAACAGGAUAUAAUAGAUGACUUUUCAGCCAUUGUCAAUGGGAUAUAAUAGUUGACCUUUACAUUUUUGUGGUGGGGAAUAUAAUUGAUUUGGACCCCAGCCUUUAGGGAUUUGGUUAGAGUUUAGUAGUAGUAGUAGUAGUAGUGUUUGGUCCCGUCUAUUUUAAAAGGAACAAAUUUGAGGCUAGCCACCCAUUUGUAAAGUCCCACUUAAUUAGGCAUCAUUUGUUAUAUGAUAAUCAGAGUGAAAAUAUUUGAAUUGUGUUUGAUUUAGAUUUGACGUGAAAUGGUUUGGAUAUAUAUGAAAAUGUUUGGUUAAAUAGUUUAAUAUGUAUUAGCAUAUUUGAACUCAAAUGUUUUUAUGAAAAUGAUUGUACCCCAUAUCUCCUAUUUGCAAGCAUGUUGAAACUAUUUGAUCCAAGAAACUAUAUUAAUGUUCUUUAUUGGGUUUUGAGCUCAUACCCCUUUGUUGAGACUUUUUAAAGUUCCUGAGCUCAAACAAGGAAUGAUGGUUAGGAGGGGAAUUUGGCUUUAUUAGGACGUUUGUUUAAACUUUCUUUUUGAACUUUGUUUAUGUUAGAAUUUGAUUUCUAUUAGCUAUCGUUUAAUUUUGAAAUUGCUUGGAUAGUAAUAUUUUAGUUGAUAUGUUAGUUUUAAAGUUGAUAUUUAGAGAUGUUAGAAUUUUUUUUUCAACUAUUCUGAACAAGAAUUUGGUAAUUGGUAAUUUCUAGUAACAAGACGAAUAUUUGUGUCGUUUCCACUUGGAGCCUUUGGGCUUAAGGUGUGAAAUGAUCAUCAUGCCCUUGGAGUGGGUUUUAGGGCAUGACACUAGGAGCUUGCUUUAAUCCAUAGAGGGUUUUCUUUAAAAUAUAGACAUGAUCGAGGAAUUUUGGAUCCUCGAAUCCCUUAGAUUGCUCAACAUAAACUUCUUCACUCAGAAUUCCAUUCAGAAGAGCACUCUUGACAUCCAUUUGGUAAAGCUUUAUCCUUAAGGAGCAUGCCAUUGCCAAAAGUAUCUUAAUUGAUUGUAAUCAUGCUAUUGGUACAAAUAUGUCUUCAUAAUCAGUCCCUUAAAAUAAAAAUAUCAAAUUCAUAGAAUCAUUAAUCAAAAUAUCACAUCAAUGCAAUAAAAGAAAUGAAAUACCAAUCUCAUGCAAUAAAAAAAUGAAAAUCAAACCAAUGCUCACCUAAUCCUAAAAUCAUGCAAUCAAAUUCAAGAUUAAACCCAGUUGAACCUAAUUAAUCUAAAAAAAAGCACCUAAGUGGGACCUAAUAUGAAAAUGCAUCUAAGUGAAGCUAAUUUUUUUAAAAAAAAAAUUCAUUUAAGUGAACAUCCAGACUUGUGGGACUGCCAAAGUCACAGUGAUGAUCUAGAUGGAUCCUUCAACCACAGGUCCCUGAAGGUGGCUUACAAGGAGUAAGUUGCAUGAGUGACAAAGGGUCGCCAAGGGGGUGACUAUGAGUCAAAAGAAAAGUAUGGAAAAACAACUAGUAUUGCAUGUACUCGAGAACAAAAUAGAAGUUGUCUACACAAUAAUUAUUAAGUUUUAUCCAAUGCUCUCCAAGUCUGUUUUUUAUUAGAUGCAAGUCAUCAAAGGAUUGUUGGUGAACUUGCUAUCUUUAGGGCCCACAAAGAUAUAAUGAUCUUCCACUUUAUGAGAAACCUAUUGAGCAUGAAGACUUCCUUAAAGUAGAAGAGUUUAUGUUUGAAUCUUCUCUAAUUAUAACCAAGUUUUUUUGUGAACCUGAUCAAACUAAAAAAAUGGAAAUAAUUGCAAUGGAUAAGCAAAGGAUAGUUAAAAUGAUUAGGCUAAGUGCAUAUCAAGGAUAAGUGUAGAGAGAACUAAUCACAAAAAUUAAGGAAGUCAUAGAUUAGGUGCUGGUGGAGGAAAUGAAUACUAUGAUUUCAAAUGACUAUAGUUAGUAUAGACAAUUCACUAAUUAUAUACUUUCACCUAAGUAUAGGUGGUUCAUCGCAAAGUGGUCAUACCAUUAGAUGGCAUAAAACUCAUUGUAAGUAGGAUAAACGUGGGGGUGAUUGGAUUGGCUCAUCUAUAAGUUAAAGAGUGUGCAUAGCCAUGUGGACUAAACAAAACCACUAGUAACGAGAUUUACCUGAGUUGUUCCUAAAGUGUAAGCAAGUUCCCCUAAGUAGGCUUAGUGGCAUAAACUGAUCUAAAAAGAAUGAGCAAAUCAAAGUUUCCUUUUCAGUUACUAAUAAAGAAAGUAGCUAGGUUCCUUGGUGGUAUGAAAGAAAUAGAUCUUAAUUCCAGCUCCUUCACAUAAUAAUUCAUUAACUAAUUCUCUUUGUGUUCCUAGCAUGCAAAGAAAAAAAAUCCAUUUGUGUUUAAGUAAAAGAGAACAACUUCUUGGAGGCCAAAUUAAGCAUGGUGUUUAUGAGUGGCUAAGAAACCAUGAGUCCUACACAAUAAUCCCAUUUUGCUUUGGUUGGAGUUAAAGUUCCCUCUCACCAAUCACAUAGUUGUCUUAGUCACCCAUCUUCACAAAUUCUCAACCAUCUAGUCACAGUUAGUCAUUUAUUUCCAUUAUCCGAACUAUCUUCAACAUUUUUUUCUUUAUUAUUUAUUUUUAUUCAUGGCACUAUAAUAAAAUUCAUUCUUCAAAUUCAUAGGCUUAUGGAUAAUUUCUAUACUGGUGUAUGGGGUCUUGUACCUUUUUUUUUUUUAUAGAUGCAUGGGUGUUUUAUUGGAAAUGAUAGAUAUCAUUCCUAAGCUCUAAUUCAACUACAUUUUUGUGAUUCUUAAAGCAUCUGUAUGGUCCUUCAACCAUGUCUUUAUGGUUUGAGAGUGUUUAGCAAUGUCUUUGCUCAAUCAUUCAAAUUUAACAAGAAAAGCUUCAUUCUUAGCACAUGUAAGGGCAUGUUUGCUUCUUAGAAGAUAAACAAAAUACCCUUAAUAUUCUUGAUAUGUGUUUAGGGAUUUUCAUUCUCAUUGCCUCUGAAAAAACAAAAAUAAGGACAUGAAUUGAGGCCUGAUUGUCACAUGGUUCUUUUAAUGUAUGUCAUCUCUUGGGAUCAACACACUUGGCUAUUUAUGUUUUGAAAAAGUAAAUUCUUUUAAUGUUAUUUAAGAAUCUAAAAAAAACAAAAACUGAUUGUAGUUAAAAGAAAAAAAGAUCAUUUUUUUUAUUUAUCAAAUGAGUGAAGUAAUUGAAAUGAUUGUAUAACAAAUUGUUCUAAAGGUUUGAUGGUCCAAGUUUAGAUUCAAGACAAAUGAGAGCAUUUUUUUUUCUUUAUCUGAACUUUAAGUUCAAAGUCUUAUCUAAAAUUGAAUCUUAAAACCAAUUUGCAUCCAAACUUAAAAUUUAAGUCUAGCAAUCAAACCAAUAAACUUAAUCAAAUGUAUUGGUCACCUUAGUUUCAUGUUUAUUACAUUAACAACCUAUAUUUAUCUUAUAAAUUUGUUUACACUAAAUCACAAAAAAUCAAACCAAGUUAACUAGUGAUUAAGUUAUUCACAAGCAUUACUAGUACAUCAAUAAGCAUUUGUUGUACCUCGUCUAAAUCAAACUAUAUAGAGGGUCUAUUUUAAACAAGUUAAAAUAAAAAUAAAUAAAUAAAUAAAAUUAAAAAUUAAAAAAAAAAAACCAAUAAAACUUUGUCGAAUAAUUGUUGCUCCUUGUUUGAAUCGUCUAUUUUCAUGCUAGCUCUCUUUGCCUCUUGUGGUAGCAAUUACACACUCAAAAUUUAUAAGAGAAAAAGAGAUAAUUAAAAAGAAAAAUAAAGUCUCCAAGACGACUCCCAUCUUCUGUCUAACCUUAACAAUUAAUAAAUAUAUAUGCUAUCCUAAAAAGACAUUUAAUCCUAUCUUGACUUACCACCUAAGCAAAAUGGAAGUAAAUAACAAUGUUUUCAGAACCGGACCGGUGAUCGAACCGGAAAAGUUACCGGUUCACGGUUCACUGGUCGGACCGCUAUCGAACCGGUGACGUCAUAAAUAUAUAAUUUAUAUAUUAUUAAAAUUAAAAAUUAUUAUAAAAAUUACAAAUAUAUAAAAUUACAAAUUUUAAUAAUGUUUGAUUUUUAUAUUUGGUAUAUUAAAUUAAAUGAUAAAGUUUAAUAUUUUAAAUUUUAUUAAAUAGAAAUAUGUAAUAUUUAAGAAAGAAGAUAUAUUUAAGAUGAAAAAAUUUAAAAUAUUUAAUUUUAUCCUUUUGUCUUUGUAUUUUAUUGUUUUUAAAUUAUUCUAUUAACUAAUUUAUAUUAUUUUUUAUAAUUAUUAUAAAAAUAAACAGGAAUUUAAAUAUUUAUAUUUUUUUAAAGAUUUUAUAUGAUAAAAUUUUGAAAUAAAAUCAAAGUUCCAUCAUCCAUGCGUCCAAAGGCAAUGUUUUCCUCUAAUAGUCUCAUUCCCAAUCCCACAUCGGAAGCACAAGAAUUUUAUGUGCUCUAUAAAAGCCUUCCAACUUGCCUUUAAGCCAAACAAGCCAGCAAGCUGGGCCUGGAAGCAUGGCCCAAAUGCAAGUGUUAUUUUAAAAUAAAGAAUGCUGCAAAUUGGGCUUGUAGACAUGGCCCAAAUAGUAGUGUUUUAAUCUUUUCAUUGGACUAGGCCUUAGUGGCUUGGACCAAAGAUGGUUUAUUAGGUUGAGUUGUAAGCAGUGGGCCUGGAAUGGUCCUUUUAAUAGUAAACAAAAACUUGUUUUAAGUUAUGACCGGUUUGCAAAAAACCGGACGGGUCGUCCGGUUUGACGGUCCAACCGUCGGUUUGAACGGUCCAAUGCCGAUUUGAUAACAAAACGGUUCAUUGAGCGGAUCGAACCGGAUAAUUCACCGGUCGACGGUUGGACCGGUCCGACCGGCCCGUUCGGUCCGGUUUUUAAAACCAUGGGAAAUAAAUCAAAAUUACAACAAAAACUAUUUGAAAUUAGAAUUUCGAUUGAAAUCCAUGUAAGUUUCUCUAUCGAUUGGCUUGAACCGGAAAAAUCUAUUUCAUAAUGAGAAAUGAAAAUUUUCAAUUUGCAAAACUGAUUUCAGCUACUCAACAUUUAGUUGCCAAUGUUAUUUUUCUUGUCUUCUUCUACCUUGGAAGACCUGGGGACGAACCAAGGUUCAUUCAAUUGAAUCAUAGCUCUCAUAUUUCUAAUGUCUAGAAUCACCUCAAAUUCAUGUUAGCUUCAUUUUUUUUCCCCUUCAUUCUCAAAAAUAACAAAUUAGUCCUCAAAGGUGGGCACUAACACAAAUUUGAGUUAAAACUAGUGAUUUUGCCUUUGUGGACUUUCAGUUUAACCUAUCACCUUAAAAGUACAUGAGAGAUAGGAAUGUCCACCACCCUUUAUCAUCCACUCUUUUCUUAGGGUUACUCUAUUAUUGAACACACUUUUUGAUAUCAUAUUGAAUCCCUCCUCCAAUCAUAGACAUUUAUAAAAUAAUAAUAUGAUUAGGUCACAGAGAAUAAAUAAUAUGACCAAAGAUGUAAAAAAAAGAUGCUAUAAAAAAAUACAAAAUAUUAUGAUCAAGAUAUUAAAAAGAAAAACAAGGUACAAAAAUAUGAUUAAUUGCAAAUAAUAUCAUUGUGGUAUGAAAAAAGUGAUUCAUGUAAGGACAAGUUUGGUAGAUGGGAAUGAGCAAUGUAAAUGAAUGUUUUGUUUCUAUUCCUAUUUCUCCUUCAAUAGAAAUAAAUUUGGUAAUUUCAAUUUUUGUAUUUGGAUGCACCUAAGAAUGAAAGGUUGAAAUAAUUAUUUGUUUUCAUUUUAAUAUUAGGUAACAAAGGGAAUGAGAAUGGAAAAAGAAAUAAAUUGACAAUAAUAUUUGUACAAAUAGUUUAAGAAAAACUAAGACAGACAAAAUUAAUUCUUUAAUAAAUGUUCUAAUUUUUAAGAAUAAUUUAGAAUACAAAAAAUUGAUUGAUUAAUUAAAAAUUAAAUAAAAAAAUUUAGAAUACCAUCCAUAAUUGAGUAUUAAAUAUAUUCAUACAAUAAAAAGCUUGACUCAUUUAUACCUUAAAAAAAAUUAUUUAUUUUUAAAUUUAUUUAAAAUAAAAUAGUAUUAGCAAUUAUUAAUUUUAAAUUACUAUUACUCAUUUUUUUUAAAACAAAAUAAAUCAAUUAUGCUUUUGUGAUGAUGUUAAUAUCCACAUUUUUAUAAUAUUUAUAAAAAUAUAUAAUUUAUAAUUUUAUUAUAAUAUUUGCAUUACAUUUAGUUUAUAUUAUAUAAAUUGAAUUUAUAAUCAUUUUAAGAAAAUCAAAAUAAAAAAUUAUUUUUAAAAACAUCUUAUCCUAACAAGUUUUAGGUUACUUAAUUUUUAAAAAUAUCUUAUCCUAACAAGUUUUAGGGUACUUUUUAAAAACAUCUUAUAGGGGAUCAAAAUACCUUUUAUUAGAGAUGAAUCAAAUCUCAUUUAUAAGUGAGAUAUUUCUUUUUUCAUUUGAGUUAUUCUAACAUGGGAAUAGAUAAGAAAAUAAAUGAGAUGUUUAUCCCCACUUCUCAUUCUUACGUAUAAAACAUGGCCUAAAAGCAUAUUAAUACAGUUUUCAUGUCUCCAAUAUGCAUGACGUCUCUAUAAUAUGGCAGAACUCUCCACUACUUGUUUGAAAUAGAUGAAACUUUAUAUAAUGGUAACAUGAAAGUCAAAUUUCAGUGCAACUAUUCAUAGUGAGGACUCUGCUAUGUACCACAUGUCCUUCUCAUUUAUAAGAUAUAGGUAGAAGUGGGUUUUGAUUCACUAAUAUGAAAAUAUAUGGAAAAAGGAACCUCAAUUUUUUUUAAAAAUUAGUAUUAUCUUUAUCUAUUUAAAAAUAAUUUAAAAUAUAUGUUCAUUUUAAUGAGUCAUCUAAUUAUUUCCUAAAAUACUCCUUUUACUUGUCAUGUCAUCAAUAUCAAUUGACAACUAAACUCCACAUAAAUAUUUCUGUGUUAUAAAAUAUGAGAUUUUGUACCACUAAGGUAACUUGUGGAUGAUCAUCCAUAAAUAUCUUUUGUAACUCCCUAUAAAAGGGAUAGACCCUUAAUGAAAUUCAAUAGAGUUUUCUCAUGCAUUCUAUUCUCUCUUUCUUGUUUCUUUUUCUUCUCUCACUUUGUUUUACAACACGUUAUCAGCACGAAUAUUCUUUACAAAAGAAAUAGAAAGAUUUUUUUCAUAUUCAGAGAAAUAGAAAAACGUUCUUCCCUUUAGAGAAAUGGAAAGACUUUUUUCUCAAAAAAGGUAUGUGAUAAACUUAUAUCAUCAUUUUCUACUUUAUUACCAUUUGACUCUCUAUUUUCAUUUAUUUUAUUUGAAUGUAUAAAUAUGUACAGUCCCUAUAACCAGAAGUUAUGGGAUAAAUUAUAAAUUAUGGGGUAAAUUCAUAACCAAACGUUAUGAAAAAAAAGUAUGUGCAAUUCCUAUAAUCAGAAGUUAUGAGAUAAAUUAGAAAUUAUGGGAUAAAUUCAUAACCAAAAGUUAUGAAAAGUAUGUACAAUCCCUAUAACCAAAAGUUAUGGGGAAAAUUACAAAAUUGUAAAUAUAUGACCAGAAGUUACGUAUAUGAUCCCUAAUUAUUUGUUUUUAAUUAUACGGUAUAACUAGAAGUUAUAUCAAACAAUAUUAUAUAGCCAAAAAGUAUAAAAUAAAUAAAUAAAUGUUCAUAGUCGAAAGCUAUGUAUAAAUCUAUAUAAUGAAAGUUUAUAGCUUGAAGUUAUGCACAAAUCUACACAAUGAACAGCUCAUAGCCUGAAGCUAUGUACAAAUUUAAAUAUUUUCUUGUUCUGACAAAAUAAUCACGGCCUAAAGCUAUGAAAGAUAUUGACUUUAAUUUAUUUAAUUUCUUUUAAUUAUAUGUAUAACUAGAAGUUAUACAUAAAUAGUUCAUAGCCUGAAGCUAUGUGCAAAUUUGAAUACUUUAUUAUGUUAUAUAUGUUUUCAUUGCUUUUAUACAACUUAUUAAGUAAUCAUCAAUGACUAAUAUUUUCCAUUGAUAUUAACUCUUUCUCUAUGAUAAUAUUCCUUCAACUCUAUAAAGAUGAGGUCUUUAUGACAAUGUUUUAUUACUUGUUACUUUUAUGAAACUGUUGUCUCAUUAAUUACACAACAUUGAUGGUAAACAAUGUUAAUACUAUAUCAGGUGAUGAAAACCUGAUUAAAGGCUCUAGAAGAGCUUAUACUAGGUCACUAGUAGUAUUUGAUUCCAUGUGAAUGACACUUUAUACGAUACUAGAUCCAGAAGAAUCUUAUAUGACCAACUUGGUCCCCUAGGGUAAAAGGGAAACCAGAUGUGUUUAUUUAGUGACUAGUCUACCUAUACACUUAAAAGGUAGAAUGACAUGUUGUGCAGAUUAUCAUUUUAAUGAGAUAAUUUUCUGGCCGUUAAGGGGAGAAGAGCCAAUUCCAGAAGAACGACGUGAAGUUAUUUGGAAUACAUUGACUUUUACUUAUCUUGAUCUUCAUACAAAUCAAUGUGAACUAGAAGUUCAAAGGAUAUUCAUUUGCAAAAUCUUGCAAAUCAAUUACCAGAUGCAUUCAUUAAUAAAAAGAAAGUGACAAAGUCAUAUAUCCUAGUUGCAAACACUCCAGCACGGAUUGAUAUCCUUGUAGGACAAUUAACAAAUGAAUCUAAAAUACGCCUGAAGCGUGGUAGACUUGUCAGCUCAAAAGAUGUAACUCCCCAGAAGAUAAGAACCCAAGAAAAUUUUGACACUCUAAAAGAGGCCAUCAAAAUGACUAAUCAAUUUAAAAUUGAUAAAUCUAUAGCCCCAAAAGAGGCACAAAUAAUACGGAAAGCCCCUAAAGAGGCAUAUAUUGAACAAGAAGCCCCUGAAGAGGCACAGGUACCUGAAAAUUGUGAAAUCUCAGUAAGUUAUGUAUACAUAGGAGAAAAAUGGGAUCGAAAUAAUAUUAUUAUUAACAAUAUUUUUGCUUUCUAAGUGGCCUCCAAUAUCAUAAGAAAUGAUAAAGAUAUUAAACCACAAAAUAUGGAAGAAUGUCGUUGAUAAAACAAAGGCUAUGAAUAAUUAAGGAAAAUACCCAAAAGGGGGGGGUGAAUUGGGUUUUUCAAAAUCUUUUUCCACACAAUAAUAUAUGCACAAAAUAAAUAAAGGAAAGAGAUAAAGUUAGAGAAUUCAAACUCAGGUUUAUAGUGGUUCGGCACUCCCUUGCCUACGUCCACUCUCCUCAAUCUCCUAACCGAGUGAGGGUUCCACUAACUUGAAGCUUCAAUCAAGCUUUCAAUCGUCUUACAGUUGGAUUCCGGCUCCAAUGGGCUCUUACACAAUCUCUUCAAGAUUUGAACCACUUAAAGGCUUUCACACUCAGUUUACACAAGGAUCAAACUCUCAACUUAGCUUAAGGAAGGCUCAAGUACAAGAGAAAGCUAGGAUGAAUUACCAUAGUGCACUAAGAAUAUGCAAGAGAUGGUUUAAUGCACUAAGAAAGAAAAUGAGAGCUUUUUGGAUCAAGAACAGGUAGGUAGGCUUUGAAUGCAAUUGUUCUCUUAGUCAUAAAUGAAGAAGAGCUCUCAAUUUAUAGGUUUCUAAGCUCGGGAGACAAAAACAGCAGAAAGUAGCCUCGACCGGACGAGUAAAGGGUCAACCGGAUCACUAGUCGUUGGAGCAUUUAAUGCAUGGCAGGUUACCGUUGCCUCGACCGAACCUCGACUGGACCUCGACCGGACAAGGGUGGAGCUCAACCGGGAAGACAAAGCUACUGGGAGAGAGAGAAGGUUUUUGUGCCUUCCUUGACCGGACCUUGACCGGACAAGGGAAACCGGUCGACCGGUUUCCCCAACCAGUUGAGCCAGUUGGCCAUAGCCUUGACUGGAUGAGCCUUUUGGCCCUGAAAACCUAUCCUUUUUUAUUUCUUUCUUUUCCAAUACUUAGGCAAGGUCUUUAGGUGAGUUAAUAUGUCAAUUUUGAGUCAAUUUGCCUAAGGUAUAUUUGAUAAAACUCGGGUUUUAAAGAAAAUCAAGUUUUAAAGAAUAAACUGAGUUUUCUAAGAUGCAUGAAAAGGUAUGAACAUCCUAAGUGCACUCAUGCUAUCAUCUUACAUUCAUUUCCUAUGAUCACAAGUCUUCCAAAUGGUCUCGAUCCCGUAUUCGUUUGGUCCUUGAUGAAUUUUUUAGAUUAUGCCUGAGAUUCUUAACAAUUUAAAACAAUUAGUCACUUAACCAUGGUUUGUUAUCAUCAAAACCUGAUUAGGAGAACCCUUGGGCUAACAAUCUCCCCCUUUUUUAUGAUGACAAACCUUGGUUAUCUAGGAAAUAGAGAAAUCUCCCCCUCAAACCAACCAUGGGAUAAUCAACACAAAAUUUAGGAAAUUUAAAGCAAGAAGACAAUGUAAAUCAAUAAGAGUGUCAUAUCAUAUAUAAGCAAGAGCAAGAGUACAUGAAAGCGUAUGAUAUGCAUGGAAAUGAAAAAGUCUCCUAAGGUCCCUAUCCUAACAUAUCUCCCCCUUUGGCAACAUCAAAAAGAAAACGAAGGGGGAUCCCAAAUAAAGUCAAGGCUGAGGAGGUGGUGGUGGAAACACAGAACGGAGGUAAGCCAUCAUCUCCUCGUGUUGACUCUCCUGGCGGCUCUCAAGACGCUCAAUCUUCUGUACAAGAUGCUCAAACUGAGAGGUGAAGCCAGCCUGAUAUUGAUCGAUGCGAUCCUCCAUGGAAUAAAAGCGAGUAUCAUGAACUACUGCUAACUCCUCCAUACGAGUCCCGAUAUAGCUAAUCUGUGCUGAUAAAUCCAUCCAAGGUGGAUGAUCAGGAGCAUGAGGAGCCUGAGAUGGUAGCUCGGUAAAUGAUGGCUGAGAUGAAGGGCCUGCUGUGAAGGAUGGCUCAGUCAUCAUAGGCUCUGAGAAGGUAGCCUCAACAUGAAUGCCCUCUGACUAAUGUGGAGGCAGAAUGUCAAGCUCGGGCCCUCUCUGCUCAAGGUCCCUCUUGGGGUCCAACCCAUCCUCCAUCUCUCUGAUCUCUUCCUCCUCCUCCACUCCGGGGUGUAUCUGAUCAUGUCCCCGGGCCUGUCGCUCGGCUUUCCUAACCCAGGAGCCAUUGGGGGCCUUCUCAAGCUUCAUGCGCCCCAGAGAAUGCUCGUCAUAAGUGUCAUAGAUGCUGGGUGCCUCAAACUCUGUCUCUCUACUCAAGUCUACCCCAGCAUCCUUGAAGACACGAGUGAGGAAGCGGCCGUAGGGAAGCACUCGUUUGGUGCUCUCACAACAGGACAUCAUAUGCCUCAUCAUCACAUAUCCUACAUGUAUCCGCCUCCCGGUGAGAAGUGAGUCGACAAGAAAAGCCUCAUAGUAGGAGACCUCAUCCCGAUGUCCUCCCCGUGGUAAUAGGAUGGAGCAGAUCAUAUGGUGAAGGACUCAGCUAGGCACGGUCAACCUAUGUGCUGAAGGUUUGCCCAUCCCAUGGGCAUCUGCAAGUCCGCACAGCCUCUGAAUGGCCUCUCUAGGCUCGAACCCGAGGAUAGUAGGCCAUGCCUUAGCCUCAUAUACUCUGAGACCAACGGGGGGAAUGUCAAGGAUGCGGCAGAUGCUCUCCGGACUCAGCUCAAUCUUAACUCCUUGGACAAUAGUCCUAAUCGAUCCUCCAAGUCCAUAGGUCCUAAUCGAUCCUCCAAGUCCAUAGGUCAUCCUAGAGUAGAAUGCAUGCACUAAGGUCGGAAAGAUAGGCUCAAAGACCAUCACAACUGGCAGCCAUCCCAUCCUGAUGAAGAGUCCCUCAAACCCGAGGCUUUGAAGUUGGGAGAAAUUGAUGUUUCUCCCUGGAACCACCUUUCUCUUGGCAAAAUGCAUCUUGUACCUCUGAUAAUCCUCAACUAAGCCGAAGAGAGCGGUGUCGUACCUCGCCUUUCAGCGAGCCUCGGUCUGCUCAGGAUGCUGAGAGGGCUCAGUAGGGUGCUUGCCCUGAGCCCUGGAAGUCCCCGUCUCCUUUCGAGGAGCCAUCCAAAAUCCAAAAAUGGAGAUAAGAUCAGAGAACUGAAGCGAGCAGGCAAAUAGAGAAGACUGACCCGAAUAAGCCUUAGGAGCUCGGGAAAGGAGCAAAACCAGAAGAUGGCGCGCAAACAGAGAGGAACCCGUCCAGAUCCGAAGUCCAAAUCCGUCCAGAGAUGAAACCCUAGCCUCAAAAUCUCGUCAAAAAACACUCCAAAACCCGAAAUCGGUCCAAGGAAUAGCCCAAACUGGUCUCUGAAGGCGGGAAGAUGAAGAGUCUUCAAGGAAUGGUAGAGAAUAGUGAAAAAAACUGACGCGUGGGGGCCUUUUAAAUUCCCAGCCCCGACAAACCGGUCGACCGCCUAGUCAACGGUCAACGGUUAUAUUUUCCAAUUUUUCUUGCGUUUUCUUGUCUCGUGAUCCUCCCCCUGCUCUUUUCAGUUGAAAUCCCCAAUUUUUUAUGUCCAAUGCCACGGGAAUUUUGAUUUUUGGUCAAAAAUUGACCUAUUUUCUAAGGGAUUGCUAUAUGAUGCGUAUGAGAUGAAAUUUAUGCAAUCAUAAUGCAUUUCCAACAAGAAUUCAUUAUACAAACAUCUAAUCAAAGAGAAAUAACCCCUAGUUGUCUUCUAAUAUCGGAAAAUUGUUCUUCACUUAGAGGUUUUGUAAAAAUAUCGGCAAGUUGAUCUUUUGUGCUUACAAAUUCAAGUGUAAUGUCACCCUUUUGUACAUGAUCUCUAAGAAAAUGAUGUCUAAUUUCUAUAUGCUUGGUCCUAGAGUGUUGCACGGGAUUUUUUGAAAUAUUUAUGGCACUAGUGUUAUCACAUUUGAUAGGAACAUGCUCAAAAGACAAGUUAAAAUCACUAAGUGUUUGUUUCAUCCAAAGGAUUUGUGCACAACACAAACCGCCUGCUAUGUAUUCGGCUUCCGCCGUUGACAAAGCUACCGAAUUUUGCUUCUUACUAUGCCAUGAGACAAGUGAGUGUCCUAAGAAAUGACAAGUGCCACUAGUGCUCUUUCUUUCAACUCUACAACCGGCAAAAUCGGCAUCCGAGAAACCAAUCAAUUCAAAAUUAUCACCCUUAGGAUACCACAAACCAAUACUCAUUGUCCCUUUCAAAUAUCUAAGAAUUCUUUUAACGGCACUUAAGUGAGAUUCUUUAGGACAAGAUUGAAAUCUAGCACACAAGCAUACACUAUACAUGAUAUCGGGUCUACUAGCGGUCAAAUAAAGCAAGGAUCCUAUCAUGCCUCUAUACAUAGUUGAGUCAAUAGAUUUACCUUUUUCAUUCAUGUCAAGCUUGAUGGAUGAGCUUAUUGGAGUUUUCAUCACCUUGGCUUCUUCCAUGUUGAACCUCUUGAGAAGAUCCUUUAUAUACUUUGCUUGAUUGAUGAAGGUUCCUUCCUUUAGUUGCUUGAUUUGAAGUCCAAGGAAGAAAUUGAGUUCCCCCAUCAUGCUCAUUUCAAACUCACUAUGCAUACACUUAGAGAAAUCUUCACAAAGAGAGUCAUUAGNNNNNNNNNNNNNNNNNNNNNNNNNNNNNNNNNNNNNNNNNNNNNNNNNNNNNNNNNNNNNNNNNNNNNNNNNNNNNNNNNNNNNNNNNNNNNNNNNNNNNNNNNNNNNNNNNNNNNNNNNNNNNNNNNNNNNNNNNNNNNNNNNNNNNNNNNNNNNNNNNNNNNNNNNNNNNNNNNNNNNNNNNNNNNNNNNNNNNNNNNNNNNNNNNNNNNNNNNNNNNNNNNNNNNNNNNNNNNNNNNNNNNNNNNNNNNNNNNNNNNNNNNNNNNNNNNNNNNNNNNNNNNNNNNNNNNNNNNNNNNNNNNNNNNNNNNNNNNNNNNNNNNNNNNNNNNNNNNNNNNNNNNNNNNNNNNNNNNNNNNNNNNNNNNNNNNNNNNNNNNNNNNNNNNNNNNNNNNNNNNNNNNNNNNNNNNNNNNNNNNNNNNNNNNNNNNNNNNNNNNNNNNNNNNNNNNNNNNNNNNNNNNNNNNNNNNNNNNNNNNNNNNGAGGAGGAGGUAGUGCCAAAGGUGAUUCUUCUUUCUGGGGAUCCUCUCCACUUUCUUCUUGUUGUUUUUUGUCCUCAAUUUGCAAUUUUCCCAUGGAGGUCUCCAAUCCUAAAUCAUCAUCAAAACUUUCUCUUUCUUGAAGAGAAUUGUUAGAUUCAUCAAAAAUGACAUGGAUGGACUCUUCUACAACCAUGGUUCUUUUGUUGAAAACUCUAAAAGCUUUACUUGACGUUGAGUAGCCAAGAAAAAUUCCAACAUCGGAUUUUGCAUCAAAUUUUCAAAGAUUAUCUUUGGUGUUUAAUAUAAAACAUUUGCACCAAAAGACUUUGAAAUAGCUAAUGUUGGGUUUCUUGUUUUUCCAAAGCUCAUAGGGAGUUUUCUUAAGAAUGGGCCUCAACAAUAUUCUAUUUAAAACAUAGCAAGAAGUGUUUACCACUUCGGCCCAAAAAUACUUUGGCAAAUUGUUUUCAUUUAGCAUGGUUCUAGCCAUUUCUUGAAGAGUUCUAUUUUUCCUUUCAACUACCCCAUUUUGUUGAGGAGUUCUAGGAGCCGAAAAAUUGUGAUUGAUACCAUGCUUAUUGUAAUAUUCCUCAAAGUCAAAAUUCUCAAAUUCUCUCCCAUGAUCACUUCUAAUGCAAGUGAUUGAAAAGCCUUUUUCAUUUUGAACCUUGUUACAAAAUUUUGAAAACUCAUAAAAAGCUUUACUCUUUUGACUUAAAAACAAGACCCAUGUGUAUCUAGAGAAAUCAUCCACAAUGACAUAAGCAUAAGAUUUUCCUCCUAGACUAGGUGUCCUAGAAGGACCAAAUAAAUCCAUGUGUAGCAAUUCAAGAGGUCUAGAUGUUGAGAUGAAAUUUUUGUUUUUAAAAGAGUUUUUGAUUUGCUUUCCCAUUUGACAAGCUUCACAAAUUUUGUCUUUUUGAAAAUUAAUUUUGGGAAGGCCUCUAACGAGUUCAUCUUUGUUGAGUUGGGAAAUGAGGUCCAUGUUAGCAUGUCCCAACCUCCUAUGCCACAACCAACUUUGAUCAUGCAUGCUUGAAAAACAUCUAUCAUGGCCAUCAUAUUUUGAAAUAUUUAUAGCAUAUACAUUUUCACAUCUAUGGCCCAUGAAAAUGGUUUUGUCAUUUUGAAUAUCCUUGAUGAUACAAUGAGAUGCUUCAAAAAUUACUUUAAAACCUUUGUCACAAAGUUGGCUAAUGCUCAAAAGAUUGUGUUUUAAAUCAUCUACUAAUAAAACACUUUCAAUAAGGGAGGAUAUACCAUUACCUAUGUUACCUUGACCAAUGAUUCUUCCUUUUGCAUUGUCUCCAAAGGUGACAUAUCCUCCUUUUCUCUUUGUAAGGAAGGCAAACUUGGAUUCAUCCCCGGUCAUGUGUCUUGAGCACCCACUAUCCAAGAACCACUUAUCUUUCUUUGAGCCCUACAAAAUAGAAUUCAAGUUGGUUUAGGUACCCAUGUCUUUUUGGGUCCUUGAGGGUUAGUGACUUUGGAUUUUUCAAUCCAAACCUUUUUAACCUUAGCAUUUGAAUUCUUUUGAGCACCAUUUCUUAAGGGACAUGUACUACUAAUAUGCCCUCCUCUUGCACAAAAGUUACAAAUAGUAGAAGGACAUUCACUUGAGGAUUCUUUUACAAAAUAGUUUUUAAAAUGCUUUUGGUUUUUUGAAGAUUUGAAUCCUAGUCCUUGUUUGUCAAAAACACAUUUUUGGCUUGCUAAGAUCAUUUCAAAGGACUUUUGUCCACAAGAGAAAAUUGAAAGAGAGGAGGUCAACCAUUCAUUUUUCUUUUUCAAAAUUUCAUUUUCAUUUCUUAAAAUCUCAUUCUCUUUUUCAAGAUGAGUUUUAGAGAUUUCAUCAAUUGAAAACUUUUCUUUCACUUCCUCAAGUUCUUUUUCAAGUUCUUGAAUUCUCUUUUUAAGAGAAUUAUUUUUCAAAAUCCUCAUAUAGUUCUUCAAAAAUAACAUGCAUAUCUUCAUCACUAGAGUUAGAGUUUACCUCAUCAAGAUCAUCUAUUGCCAUGAAGCACAUGUUUGCCACUUCUUUUUCCUUUUCUUCCUCGGAAGAUUCUUCACUCUCACUCCAAGUGGCCAUCAUUGCCUUCUUCAUUCUUCUUUUGGCUUCAAUUUUGUAGAGAGGACAAUCAUAUUUAAUGUGUCCCGGCUUUUUGCAUUUGAAGCAUAUCAAAUCACUUUUCUCUUCCCAUUUUUCCUUGUCACCAUGUGAUAAGGAUUCCCUUCUUGAGGGAUUUCUUCUAGAGGUAAACUUUUUCCCUCUAAACCUUUCACCUCUCAUGUACUUGUUUAGCUUUCUUAUGAUGAGAGCUAAAUCAUCAUCUUCUUCACUUGGUUUUUCUUCUUCAACAUCUUCUUCUUCCUUGGUUGUAGCUUUAAGAGCUAUGCUUUUCUUCUUUUUGUCUUCACUCUCUUGUAGUUGCUUUGUCAAACUCAUUUCAUAAGUCAUCAAUGACCCUAAGAGUUCUUCCAUAGGUAGCUUGGUCAAGUCUUUAGCUUCUUGAAUAGCGGUGACCUUUGUAUGCCACUUUGAGGGGAGAGACCUCAAUAUCUUCAUCACCUUUUCGGAUUCAUUUAUGACCCUUCCCAAUGCUUCAAGGCCAUUGACAAUUUCAGUGAACCUAGUGAUCAUCUCAACAAUAGUUUCAGUUUCUUUCAUUGAAAACAAUUCAUAGUUAUGGACAAGUAAAUUAAUUUUUGACUCUUUCACUUGAUUUGUUCCUUCAUGAGUUAUUUCAAGCAAUCUCCAAAUUUCCUUAGCAAAUUUACAUUGGCAUAUUCUAUUAUAUUCAUUCCUAUCCAUAGCACAUUGCAAAGUAAAAACGACUUUAGCAUUUAAUUGAAAAUUUCUUCUAUCAAGCUCAUUCCAUUCUUUCUUGGGUUUUGGAACCAAAACUCCAUCAACUAAUUUAGUGGGAAAAGUUGGGUCAUCUUCAAUGACAUCCCAUACAUCUAAAUCAGCUGAUUGUAAGAACCAAGUCAUUCUAGCUUUCCAAUAGGGAUAGUCGGUUCCCGUAAAGAAUGGAGCUCUAUGUUUUGAAAAUUUUUCAGUUUGAGAUGAGCUUGAUGGAAUAGCCAUUUUCCUCUUAGACGAUUAAGUCUUAAGCAAGAGGUCUAGCUCUGAUACCAAUUGAUAAAACAAAGGCUAUGAAUAAUUAAGGAAAAUACCCAAAAAGGGGGGGGGGGGGGAGGGGAGGGGGAGGGGGAGGGUGAAUUAGGUUUUUCAAAAUCUUUUUCCACACAAUAAUGUAUGCACAAAAUAAAUAAAGGAAAGAGAUAAAGUUAGAGAAUUCAAACUCAGGUUUAUAGUGGUUCGGCACUCCCUUGCCUACGUUCACUCUCCUCAAUCUCCUAACCGAGUGAGGGUUCCACUAACUUGAAGCUUCAAUCAAGCUUUCAAUCGUCUUACAGUUGGAUUCCGGCUCCAAUGGGCUCUUACACAAUCUCUUCAAGAUUUGAACCACUUGAAGGCUUUCACACUCAGUUUACACAAGGAUCAAACUCUCAACCUAGCUUAAGGAAGGCUCAAGUACAAGAGAAAGCUAGGAUGAAUUACAAGAGUGCACUAAGAAUAUGCAAGAGAUGGUUUAAUGCACUAAGAAAGAAAAUGAGAGCUUUUUGGAUCAAGAACAGGUAGGUAGGCUUUGAAUGCAAUUGUUCUCUUAGUCAUAAAUGAAGAAGAGCUCUCAAUUUAUAGGUUUCUAAGCUCGGGAGACAAAAACAGCAGAAAGUAGCCUCGACCGGACGAGCAAAGGGUCGACCGGAUCACUAGCCGUUGGAGCAUUUAAUGCAUGGCAGGUUACCAUUGCCUCGACCGGACAAGGGUGGGGCUCGACCGGGAAGACAAAGCUACUGGGAGAGAGAGAAGGUUUUUGUGCCUCCCUCGACCGGACCUCGACCGGACAAGGGAAACCGGUCGACCGGUUUCCCCAACCGGUUGAGCCGGUUGGCCAUAGCCUCGACCGGAUGAGCCUUUUGGCCCUGAAAACCUAUCCUUUUGAUUUCUUUCUUUUUCAAUACUUAGGCAAGGUCUUUAGGUGAGUUAAUAUGUCAAUUUUGAGUCAAUUUGCCUAAGGUAUAUUUGAUAAAACUCGGGUUUUAAAGAAAAUCAAGUUUUAAAGAAUAAACCGAGUUUUAUAAGAUGCAUGAAAAGGUAUGAACAUCCUAAGUGCACUCAUGCUAUCAUCUUACAUUCAUUUCCUAUGAUCACAAGUCUUCCAAAUGGUCUCGAUCCCGUAUUCGUUUGGUCCUUGAUGAAUUUUUGAGAUUAUGCCUGAGAUUCUUAACAACUUAAAACAAUUAGUCACUUAAUCAUGGUUUGUUAUCAUCAAAACCUGAUUAGGAGAACCCUUGGGCUAACAGUCGUCAUAGAAAUGAUUGGCCAAAAUGGAAAGAAGUUAUACAGGCAAAGUUAAACUCAUUAACAAAAUGAGAAGUUUUUAGACUUGUAGUCCAAACACUUGAAAAUGUAAAGCCUGUUAAGUACAAAUGGGUAUUUGUACGAAAAUGCAAUGAGAAUAAUGAGAUCAUAAGAUAUAAAGUGCGAUUAGUAGUACAAGUUUUCUCACAAAUACCUAGUAUUGAUUACGUGGAAACAUACUCUCCCGUCAUGGAUGCAAUCACAUUUCUUUUCUUAAUUAAUUUGGAAGUCCUAGAAAGACUAGAUAUGCAUAUCAUGGAUGUUAUUACAACAUAUUUAUACAUAUCCAUAGAUAAUGAUAUAUACAUGAAAAUCCCUGAAGGAUUUAAAUUGCCUAAAGCAAAUUGUACAAAGCCUCACAGCAUGUACUCAAUCAAGUUACAACGAUCCUUGUAUGGAUUAAAGCAAUAUGGACGCAUGUGGUACAAUCGCCUUAGCGAAUACUUGCUAAAAGAAUGGUAUAUGAAUAACCUUAUAUGCCCAUGCAUCUUCAUUAAGAAAUCAGAAAACAAAUUUGCAAUUAUUACAGUGUAUGUUGAUGACUUAAAUCUUGUUGAAACUCUUGAAGAGCUCACAAGAACAAUAAAUUACUUGAAAAGGGGAAUUUGAGAUGAAAGAUCUUAGAAAAACAAAAUUUUGUCUUGGUCUACAGAUCGAGCAUUUUCCAAAUGGAGUUUUAGUACAUCAAUCAACAUACAUUAAGAAAGUUUUGAAGUGUUUUUAUAUGGAUAAAGCGCAUCGUUUAAGUUCUCCAAUGAUUAUCUGAUCACUUGAUGUGAAAAAGGACCCAUUGCGUCCUUGCGAAAAAAAUGAAGAAUUAUUUGGUCCUGAAGUACCAUAUCUUAGUGUUAUUGGUGCACUUAUGUAUCUUGACAAUUGUUCACGUCCAGACAUUGCUUUUUCUGUUAAUUUAUUAGCAAGAUAUAGUUCCGCUCCAACUCGAAGAGAUUGGAAUGGUAUCAAACAUAUAUUGUGUUAUCUUUGCGGAACUACUAAUAUGAGUCUAUUUUACUCAAGGAAAUGAAAGCAACAAUUGCUUCGAUAUGCAAAUGCAGGAUGUUUUUCAAAUCCACAUAAAGGUAGGUCACAAACAGGGUAUGUGUUUAAUUACAAUGGUACUGCUAUUUCAUGGAGAUCUAUCAAACAAACAAUGGUGGUCACAUCAUCAAAUCAUUCAUAAAUACUAGCAAUUCAUGAAGCAAGUUCAUGAAUGUAUAUAGCUAAGAUCUAUGAUCCAACAUAUUCGGGAAUCAUGUGGACUCUCCUCUAUCAAAGGCAUUGUCAACUACAAUACUCAAGAAGCUCAUUGGAAUACAUGGACUCAAAGAUCUCCAUGUUGUGCUACUAGAGAAAAUAUAAUCAUGUCAACAUGAGGGGGGGCUAAUUGAUAAGAAUAUCAUUUUGCUGCACUCUUUUUUCCUUUGUCCAGGUUUUGUCUCAUUGGGUUUUACUAGCAAGGUUUUUAACGAGGUAGUUGUAGUAAUCCAAAAGAAUAUUGUACUCUUUUUCCUUCACAAGGGUUUUUUCCCAUAGGGUUUUUCCUAGUAAGGUUUUAAUGAGGCAUAUUCUUGUGAUCAUCCAAGGGGGAGUGUUAUAAAAUAUGAGAUCUUAUACCACUAUAGUAACUUGUGGACGAUCAUCCAUAAAUAUUUUUUGUAACUCCCUAUAAAAAGAGAGACCUCUAAUGAAAUUCAAUAAAGUUUUCUUAUGCAUUCUAUUCUCUCUUUCUUGUUUUUUUUUUUCUUCUCUCACUUUGUUUUAUAACAUUCCCUUCUUUUUAUAUUUAUUAUUAUUAUUAUUGUUAUUAUUAUUAUUAUUUUAUUAUUUGGGAUUUUUUUUUCACUUCUAAUGUCAACACUCUUCAAACUACCUCACUUUUGCUAUGAGAUGUUUAUUCAUCGAGAAAAAAAUAAGUCUCAACUUUUCCUAAGAGGUGUUUGUUGCUAGAGACAAAAAAAAAUCCUAAAUAAUAAUCAAAUAAUAAUAAUUGUUAAUUGAUGUUGAUAACAUGACAAAUAAAAUGGGUAUUUUAUGAAUUAAUUAGAUGACUCAUUAAAAAGUGUAUAUAUUUUAAAUUAUUUUUAAAUAAAUGAAGAUAAUACUGAUUUAAAAAAUUGAGAUUAUUUUUUUCAUAUAUUUUCAUAUUAGUGAGUCAAAACUUAUUUUUCCUUAAUAUGAUGAGAGAAAUUUAGAAGUACCUUUUUUAUUUUUUAUUAUUAUGGAUUAUAGCAAAUAGAAUUCCAUUGGUAUAUCAAGAUAAAUAAAUAAUCUUGAUCUGGUCCCUAGAUUAGUUAUUGGCCCUCGAUGAGCCAUAUGAAGUGAAAAUCUCACGUAUGAUUCUAUAAUAGCUAUGUGAGCAAUGAUGUUAUUAUCAACUAUGAUCAUCUAACUGUUCAAGUAUAGUUGAUAUAGUUGAGGCAUAGUCAAAAUAUGGUUUUUGGGUGGAAUUUAUGGCAUCAACCUAUAGGGUUUAUUGUUUUUCUAAUUUCUUCCUUAGCCCGAAAAAUAACCUUUCGAUUUACCAUAUAUGUAUAUAUUAAAUUUGAAUAAUUUUAGUUUUAUAUUAAACAAAAUAAUUUUAAUUUAUUUUUAUUAUUUUUAUUUUUGUUUAUAAUUUUUAAUAUUAAUUGAAAAUUUUAAGUUAAAUAUAUAAUAUUUAAUAUAAAUAUAAAAUAAAAUUCAUCAUAUGCAUGUCGGUUCAUGUAACACCCUUCUUGGAUAAUGUAAUUUUGUUCUUGAAAUUAUAUAUUUAAUCCUAAUUUUACAGGAUUAUUUUAGAUUUACGAUUAUUGUAAAUUUUAUUCUUAAAAUUGAAUACUUUUAAUUAAAGUCAAUAAUUUGGCUUAACGAUCGUUAUAUACGUGGCAAAAAUUACCUCUUUCAAGUGUGUUUGCUUCUUAUUUUUCAUAUCAAAUCGAUAUGGGCUUCUGUUUUCAAUGAAAUUGAAGAUGUUUUUUUUUUUGUUUUUUUUUUUUGUUUUUGAAGAAUAUUUUGCAAAUAUACAAAUGAAAAUCAUAAAAAAAAUGAAAAAAAAUAAAAAUAAAAAUAAAAAACCAAAGAUAUUUUGAACUGAAUUGCCAGCUCUUUUGCAUACAAUUUUAGGUAAAGACGACAACAUUUGUUAUCAAUUAAAACAAGUCCAAAGUCUAAAGUGCAAUGAAAAUUGAAGUUGAAUUUGACCCUUUUAUAGCUAGGUUCACUCACACAACCUCCGACCCCUGCUUGUUUCUUAACUCUUAUUUUAAUUCAUUUUCACAAUUGCAUAUUAGUUUUAUUUUGUUUUUUCCAAUUAAAUAAAGUUUAUCAUAUUCAAAAUUCAAUACUUUUCCCCCUAAAAUUGUUAAAAAUAAAUAAAUAAUGCUUUCUCUCUCAAAUUUGUUAAGGAAAAAAAAUUAGACUGAAAAAAAAAAUAUAAAUAAAUAAAUAAAAUAAAAACUUAGCUUCCAACUAAAAUGAAAACUCAAAAGUAAUUGGUAUCAAAUUUCGAAAACAUUUGAGAAAUUCUACAUCAAAGUUGACAAUUCAAAGUUAAUUCUACCUUAUUGAAACCUGAAUACAAAAAAGAACAAUUUGUUUUAUAAUGUUAUGAAGUAUUUGUAAUUAAUGGUACAAUACUACUCUUUAACAAAUUUACAAGCCAAAAUAUUAGAUUUUAAAUAUAAAGGAAAAAAUAUAAAAUUCAUUAAAGGUUAAAACGGUAACAUGUAUUUAAUCCAAAAAUAAAUAAAUACAACCAAUAUUCCUUAUCUCUAAACUUUAUUAAAAUAUAUUUUGUCGUCUAAUUGUUUUAGGUGUACAAUGACGGCCUCUUCGAAAAUGAUGACUUAAGAGAUGAACCCAAGAUGAGUGUGUGUGUCUCAGGGUAUCGUCAUAAGAUGGGUGCAUGUUAUACCUCGUGAUGGACAUACCUUUAGCUUAUCAUUGCUAUUCAAUUGAUUGUCACUUGAGAUGAUUAGUACUUUGGGCCUCAUAAUUUGCACUUAAUCGUAGAGAAAUGAAAAAUAGAUGAUUAAAUUCUCACUUACUAUUAGAUGGAUAGGCGUGGAGGGGGAUUGGAAAAUAAUAGGAUGCAAUGAAAGCGAGCCACGUAUGAGAAGGUAUUUGGUUGUCUCUCACUGCAUAUACGGAAACCUAAAUGAAUGAGGACAUCUGAAAAUGUGAAUCUCAAUAAUGAACUACACUUAGAGGGGGUGAAUAGGUGUUGUAAAACAAUUUAAAAUUCUCCCAACAAAGAUUACCUAACCUUAGACUAUCUUUAUGUCAAGAAUUUUUUCUUCCAAUAACUUUUCAACAAAGCAAAACAUCCACAAGCAAUAAUGUAUGCAUCAACACUCUCCCAACAAUUUAUAAAUGCAAAACACAUGCAAAUGCUUCAACACUCCUCAAAAAUAAACCAAAAUAUAGAGUGAGAGAAAGAGACAAUGAACACCAGAUUUUUAACGUGGAAAACCUCCGAAGAGAUCAAAAACCACGGGCCUAUCACCGAUUGAAAACUCCACUAUGAAGAAUAAAAACUGAGUACAAUGUUUUACCUAGCUCAAGCCAACCAAUCCUUCCCGAAAUACUUGACUAGUACCUUCAUUUUUAGCUUCUCCUUUUGGAGCACACUUGGAGUCCGCACCAAGCUCAAUCUCGGCCUCUUCUUGAAUCCACACAAGAAGAAAAUGGGUUUUUGUACAAACCCAAAUAGAAUGAGAAAUUGAGAUGUAAAUGAAGGAAUAAAUCAACCCAUUUAUUGCUCAAGAAAAUCCAUUGAAAAAUAGUUUGGAAAACAUUAAGAGAAGUGGAUUUUCUUUGCAAUCAAAAACCCUAAAUUAGGAAAGCAAAAAUGAGAAAAUGAAGAACACUUGGAGUGUGGCUGCUCUCACCACGUUUUUUGCAGUCUCUCCUCCCAGAAAAUGCGAGAAGAUUGAUUUUUAAAGUGUAAAAAGAAACCCUUAAUCUAAUGGCUGAGAUUUGAUCAAAAAAACAUUAGUUGGAUAGAUCCACCCCUACACAUGGAUCGAUCCAAAAACAGAGGAAUGAAAGCCUUGCACCAAAAACCAUUUUUCCCAACUUUCUAACACAUUUAAAGAUUAAAAACCGGGUUGAUUCACAUCCAAUCACCACACACUCGACUACAUACCUCGGCCUCUUAGCAAAGUCUUAGUCUUCAAAGUCAAGUAGUCCGAAUAGGAAUAGGAAAGCCGAGUUAGGGGACACUUAGGAAUUUUGUCCGGAAUUGCCAACCUAGCUAAACACUCACAAUCUCCCCCUUUGGCAAUUCUGGGACAAAACCCUUUACAACACAAAUGAGUACAAGUAAGUAAGCCCCACCCAACUCUCAUACAAGGCCCCUUACUCACUCAAAACCACAACCUAGGUACUACAAUACCUACAAAUAAAUCUCAAGAAAAGCAUUAGUAGCACCUGUACAUAUUCCAAGCCACUUCCACAAGAUUUGAAUAAAUUAACACAUAGAUAUCCACAUAUAUCCACAAAGAUCAUUUGCCUAAAGAUAGUCAAUAUGCAUUCAUGAGUCAAAAUAACCGUGUCCAAUAUCCACAAAUACAAAACAAAAUGAUCAUGAUCAACAUAUCAAAUAUCCAAAGCACAAAACACAAUGUCAUGAUCAACUACAUGUCAAGUGUAAAAUGUCUCCCCUUUUUUGUCCCAGAAUGAGACAAAGAGUUGUCCAAAAUAAGCCAUGUACAUAAGUCGAUCAAAAUGAACAUGAUAAGCAAAGUACACAAGACAAAGAGUUGUCCAAAAAAAAUAAUAACUAGCUGCUACUUGGCUAAGAGAGAUGCUUAUGGACAAAAUCUUCAAGAGCAUGCAGCUUAUCCAUGUUGCAAAGCAUUUGUCCAUCAAUUAGAGAGAAGCCUCUCUCCAUAUAAGAUUGGAGUUGAGAAAUCUACUCAGACAAUAAGGUGGAUUGAGCAUAAAUCUUCUCAUCCAAAGCAUCAAACCUAGCACAAAGUUGAGCUAGGACAGUGGAAUCUACAUCUGAAUCAGCGUCACUUUCAUCAAAUUUUCUCUUGGCUCUACUAUGGCACACCUUCUUCUUAGAACCAAGAGCACCCUUAAUCUGUCCUCGACGUCGAUUCCAAGAAGAGGUAUCAAUGGGACCCAUUGGCACAAGAAAAGGAGAAUUUACAGGAAAUACAACUCCAGCCCUUUGGCAGAUUUGUGUGAUUAAAAUGUCAUAGGGAAGAACCUCCUUCUUAAACACUGUAGGAUCUCCUCGAAAAAUCAUCUCAUCUAACAUGCAAGAUGCUAGAUUGAUGGGUUCCCGAUGAAGGAUACGAGAUAAGAGGAUGCAACCAUUAUUACAAAUGUUUGCCCGAUGAGAGGAGGGAUAAACUGAGAAUGAUAGAAAAGUAGCUAACACCCAAGUAGGACGAGAUAGGCUACCAAUGUGCACCCCUGAGCCCAGUUGACCUCGGGCCUCUCCCCAUAAGUCAAUAGACACUCUAUCCAACAGGUCAAAGGUGAUUUCCAAAUCACUCACAGAGGGUGCUUGAACCAACGGGAUGGCUAAGACUUCAGCAAUUAUCUUAGGGGUGACUUUAACAACAAUUCCAAAAAGACUUGACUGGAGGUAGGACUCAUCCAAGUCAUGCUCAACAAUGUUCGAAUAAAACAUUCGGACAAUAGGAGCACAAGCAAACCCAGUGAAGUUUGAUAGAAGAAGCCAUCCUAGUUCUACAAACAGGUUUGGAAUUGGUGUGUCGAGAAAAGAUUCUAAAUGAAGUUGUCUCUCAAGAACAAGAGACCUCUGACGAUAAACCUUAGUAUACUGGUCUCUAUAGAACUUUGUCGGGAAAGCAUUGAAAGGAAUCCCAUCAAUUGACGUUUUUGCAGGAGCCUUGGGGAUAUUAAGAGGCUGGAUAGAAGGAAUGAUGGGUAAAUUUUCAUCUCGAGCACCUUUUGAGGUUCUAGAGGAUGACCCUUUAAUAGGGGCUUUGCUUCUACGACCUUUUGGAGGCAUUUUUCCCAAAUAAUCCACUCAAAUAGCCUACUGUGAGAAAAACUCAUACAAAAACUAACCAACAACACCAAUGGAAGAAAAACCAACCUGUACACACGAGAAAAACUAUGACGACCAGGGGCGACCAGAUCAGCAAUCCGUCACGGGAAAGAUAUCAGAUUAGUGAUACCAUAAGAAAAGUUGGAACGAAUGCCGACUAACGGAAAUGGAAAUGCAGGCCGGCGAUAAGCAGAGAAGAAAAAAAAUGAGAUGAGACGAGCUAACAGUACACCAAAAUGCCGGCAGUAGACAGAAAUGAGAAUGAGAACUGUGCACGGCGAAGAUUUCCUGUGACAACGAUCGGAUCGAACCAAACGACAGCGAAUAGUAGAGGUGAAGGGUUCUUCUUUGGAACGAAAACCCUAGGGCUUGGAAAGAAAUGAGACGAGUAACCAAAUUUGGAGUUUUUGACAUUUCAAAUUUUUUUUUUAACUUUUAAUUACCAAAAUGUCCCUCAUCGAUUUAACCCAUGAGUAUAACCAUUUGGGGACACAAUUGGAAAUUUUCACACAAAACAAAGAAAAAAUGUUUAAGGAUUUUGAGUUUUUUUUUUUUUAAUUAUAAAAAAAUUACGAAAAUACCCUGAUUCAUUAAACCAAAGGAGUUGAACCAGAUGAGGGCAAAAAUGGAAUUUGACACAAAUGCAUAAGUGGUAUCGAUCUUGGUGGAUCGAUCCACACAUCGUUCAAGAGCUCUUGGUGAAGGAACAAAAUUGUGCAACUGCAAGAAACUUUUCACAAAAAAAUUUCUAAGUGUUGGAGACAAGUGGUAUCGAUCUUGGUGGAUCAAUCCACACAUCGUUCAAGGGUUCUCGGUCACAAGACUGUGCACACAGUGGAUCGAUCCACAAAUUCAGCAGAUCAAUCAACACCCUACUGAAAAAUGACUUAGGCAAAAAAUUUACAAUAAAAACACAAGAAAACCAACAAGCUUUCCAAACAUUGAAAAUUUGAUUCACCAUAGCUAAGAUUCAAUAGGAUGACAUACUUAUCUUUCAAUCAAUGAGUUAGAAUUGAUUCAUAUUGAACAAGAAUGCUACCAAGAGCUUAACUUUAGACAAAAUUAAUAAACAUAAAGAUUGAAGAACCUUCCAAAUUUAUUCAAUGAAUAGGUAAAAACAAGUGAUUAUCAAUAUUCUAACAACUAUGUUUAAGCUCAAAGAAGACUUACUCAUGACGCCAUAAAAUAGUGAGUAUGUUAAUUUCUUUCCACUUAUAAACCUAUAUCCACCCAUAAAGCAAAAAAUCAUUUUCAAGACACAUUUCCUUCCUAGAGAAAUUCAAGAUAAUAUUCCAAGAAGUCAAUUUGCACCUCUCUUGGCUGGAUUUCUGUUUAACACGGCUUAUUCACAUCCCAAAAAAAAUUCAUACAACAUUUGUUUUUCACAUUGAGCAUUGAAAUGAUUUCACAAACAUGAGCUUCACACUUAGGAUCAUUUUUUAUUUUUUAAAUUUGAGGAUCACUAAGGUGGCCUUUACAACAUAAGAACAUAAGGGAUGUCCCACUCUUGCAAUGGAGGCUUUUUAACCCUUGAAACAUUGCCAAGAAGCCAUAACCAUUCUAGGAAACUUAAUAUUUUUCUUUUCUUCCUUUUUUUUUAAGUUCAAAGAGAGGGCAAACAAUCAAGGAAGAAUAAUCUUAAACACUCGAGGAUAUUCUGGAUGACUUUACUCACUUUUUAAUGCUCAUUAGAUAAACAUAAGUUUGCAUUUAGACUAUAAAGAACAUUACUCACAAUUUAUGUAAUCACAAGGUUCAACCAUGAGCUAUUACUCACUUAAAAGAAAUGAAGCUAACCCUUUGAGGUUUAUCUAAUCAAAUCAAAAUAGCAAGGAUUCAAUAUCAUGUUUACCAAUCAAGCCAUGGAGAUAAAAACAUCUUGAAGCUUUUAAGAUCAUUAAGAGUCAAUUUAACUCUUAAACAAAAGUGUAAGCAUGUCAGUCUCAUGAACUCAACAAAUGUUGAAAAUUUAUGAAAAAUGAAGAAAGGAUUGAACCAAAACAAAAAGACAUCAACUUGAUUAAAGUUAGGAACAUAGGAAGACAACUAGGACUCAAGGAUAUGCAAGAAGGUGUCCUAGACAGGUUCUAGAGAAAGUCAAUUGACUGUGCAUAAACCUAUGGACUUUCUAAGUGAUUCAAACCUAGACACAUCCAAAGGUUUAGUAAGAAUAUCAACAAUUUGACCUUCAGUUGGAACAUAUUCCAAUGGCACCACUUUGUCUUCAACUAAGUCACGAAUGAAGUGAUGUGUAAUGUCAAUGUGUUUUGUUCUAGAGUGCAAAACAGGGUUCUUGGAGAUGUUGAUUGCACUAGUAUUGUCACAAAACACUACUAUGGUUCCUUGAUCAAUCCCAUAGUCUCUUAACAUCUGCUUGAUCCACAAAAGCUGAGAACAACAACUACCAGCAGCAAUGUGUUCCGCUUCAGCUGUGGAAAGCAAAACAGAGUUUUGCUUCUUACUCAUCCAAGCAACCAAACAAUUUCCAAUAUAGAAACAACCACCUAAAGUGUUUUUCCUAUCAUCCACAUUUCCAGCCCAAUCGGCAUCAGUGUAGCAAGCUACAUCAGAAUGAGUGUCAAAUGGAUACCAAAGACCCAACUCUAAAGUACCAGCAAUGUACCUAAUGAUACGCUUAAGAGCUAUGAGAUGAGAUUCCUUAGGACAUGCCUGAUACCUAACACACACUCCAACACUAAAAGCUAUGUCCGGUCUACUAGCAGUGAGGUACAAGAGGCUACCAAUCAUGCUCCUAUACAAUGUUUCCUCUACCCCUUUCCCGGAUUCAUCCUUAUUUAGCUUUAGGUUGGUAGGCAUUGGUGUCCUAAAAUGUUUAGUUGACUCAAGCCCAAACUUUUUGACAAGUUCCCUUGCGUACUUGGAUUGGGAUAGGAAAAUCCCAUCCUUGAGUUGUUUCACUUGGAAACCAAGAAAAUAGUUCAAUUCUCCUAACAUGCUCAUCUCAAACUCAUUUUUCAUCUCUUUGGCAAAAUCUGAAGUGCACUCACUGGAGGUAGAGCCAAACACUAUGUCAUCCACAUAGAUUUGUGCUACCAAGGACUCUUCAUCAUUUCUUCUAAUGAACAAUGUUCGAUCAGCUCCCCCUCUCAUGAAUCCUUUCUUAAGAAGAUAGGAUGUGAGUCUUUCAUGCCAAGCUCUAGGAGCUUGCUUUAAACCAUAGAGAGAUUUUCUAAUUCUAUAGACAUGAUUUGGAUAGUUAAGGUCUUGAAACCCUUUGGGCUGCUCCACAUACACUUCUUCAUUAAGGAUCCCAUUUAGAAAGGCACUCUUAACAUCCAUUUGAAACAAUUUAAAUUUCCAUACACAAGCUACAGCUAAGAGUAUUCGAAUGGAUUCAAGUCUUGCAACUGGAGCAAAGGUUUCAUCAAAAUCAAUUCCCUCAAUUUGUUUGAACCCUUGAGCAACUAACCUAGCUUUAUUUCUCCCAAUCACACCAUUUUCAUCCAUCUUAUUUUUGAAAAUCCAUUUUGUUCCAAUGACAUUCACAUCUUUUGGUCUAGGCACUAAGAACCAAACAUCAUUUCUAGAAAAUUGAUUUAGCUCUUCAUGAAGAGCAUCUACCCAAGCUUCAUUAUUCAAGGCUUCUUCAACAUUUUUUGGUUCAAUUUGGGAGGUAUAGCAAACAUAGCUUACCUCAUUUAGCUUGGAUUGUCUCCUUGUUACCAUGCUAUCCUCAUAGUUCCCAAUCACAUUGCUCAAAGGAUGGUUCUUAGGUACCCUUGACUUAUUUUUCUUUGAUGGCUCAAUUCUCCCCCUAUCUCCUUUAUUUCCUUGCUCAUCUUUCUUUUCUUCAUCUUCACUUAACUUUUCAUCUUCAAAUUUUUCUGCAAUCACUUCAAUAUUUUUUGACACAUCAAUUCUAUCAUCAUCACACUCUCUUAACCUUGAUCUUAUAUCAUCCACAAUCACAUUGAUUGAUUCCACCAUACAUUUUGAACUCAAAAUGUAUACUCUAUAUGCCCGACUUUUGGAGGAAUAUCCUAAGAAUAUCCCUUCUUCACUCUUGGAUUCAUACUUUCCAAGAUUUUCAUGAUCUUUCAAGACAUAGCAUCUACUUCCAAACACCCUAAAGUACUUCACACUGGGUUUCUUACCUUUCCACAACUCAUAACAAGUCUUCCUAGUAUGAGAACGCAUGUGAGUUCUAUUGGAAGUAUAGCAAGCGGUGUUGAUGGCUUCAGCCCAAAAAUGUGUAGGGAGUUCAUGCUGAUUUAGCAUUGUUCGGGCCAUUUCUUGACGGACACGAUUUUUUCUCUCAACUACCCCAUUUUGUUGAGGUGUUCUAGGAGCGGAAAACUCAUGUUUGAUUCCUAGAGAAUGACAAAAUUCAAAAAAAAUUGAAUUGUCAAAUUCUCUCCCCCUAUCACUCCUAAUUCUUUCAAUGGGAUGCCCUUUUUCAUUUUGAAUUUUCAAACCAAUGUCCUUGAAAUUUAUGAAUGUCUCACUCUUAUCUCUUAGGAAUGCAACCCAUGCAUACCUAGAAUAGUCAUCAACCAUCACCAAAAUGUAUUUCUUGCCCCCUAAACUCUCAGUUCUCAUUGGUCCUAUGAGGUCCAUAUGUAAGAGUUCUAAAGGUUUAGAGGUCAAAAUUUCAUCAACUCUCUUAUGAGUACUCCUUGUUUGUUUUCCCUUUUGACAAGGACCACAAAUAGGAUUAGAGGGUUUUCCAAGCUUAGGAAUCCUUUUGAUGAUUUCAUUAUUUGCAACCUUCAUCAAGUCACGGUGGUUUAAAUGACCCAACCUACAGUGCCACAAAUCGAUUGAUUCAAUUUUUGAACUACCACACACAAGAGAAGAAGAAAAAGAGGUAGAAGGAUUUUGACAAACAGCAUAGCAAUUAUCAGAAGUUCUCAAACCAAUCAUCACACAAUUUCCCUUCAAAUCAAACACUUUACAUAAAUUUUGUGAAAAUUGAACAUUGAACUUCUUGUCACAUAUUUGACUAAUGCUAAUUAAGUUAGCUUUCAAUCCUUCCACAUACAAAACCUCUUCAAGGUUAGGGAUCCCGGGAGCACAAAUUGUGUCUUUCUCUUUCACACUAGCAACAUUGUCAUCACCAAAAGUCACAUUUCCUCCAUCAAAUUCAAUGAAAUUAGUGAAGAAUGAUCUAUUACCUGUCAUAUGACGUGAACAACCACUAUCAAAAUACCAUGAGUGUAACUCACUAGCUCUAAGUGCAGUGUGAACAACAAGGCAAUUAAGGUCACUCUUUUUCACCCAUAUUUGUUUUACAUUUGUGACUUUGGUCAUUCCAUUUGAAGUGCUUCCUUGGAAGCCACUAUAAUGAGGGACAUUUGAAUCUCUCUUGAACACUCUCUUGCCUCCUUGUAACAACCUAUUUCUCAAAGUGAAUGAUUCAUUCAUUAGGUUGGUCAACUUUCUUUGGAAACUUUCAAACAUCCUAGCAUAACAUCUAUCAAUGGUGUGUCCCAUUUUAGUGCAAUGAGUGCAAUGAAGUUUCAGUUUUGGAGGAAUUUUCUUAGGGACCACUUCUUCACAAGACUUGACAAAAAUUGUUUUACCACUACUUGGAGUGGUAGCUUCAUCAACAAACCCUAAGCCUCUUUUAUCAAAUGAUUUCCUCCUUAAAUUGAUCAAAUCACUAAGUCUUUUAGAGCUAGGAUGUGACUCUUCUUUCCUAAGACUCAACUCAUUCUUAAACACUUGAUUUUCACUCCUCAAUUCAUCACACAUUUUCUUCAUGUCAAAGUGUUCGCCCUCAAGAAAGGCAAUCAUAUCUAGCAAAAAAAAUUUCUCUCCCUUUAGAGUUUUAAUCUCAUUGAUUAAACUCCUUUUAGAAGUCUUCCACUCAACUUGUUCCUGUUUGAGACUUAAGCACUCCUUGUACAAAGUCUCAUAUGCAGAGUCAAAACUCAUCUCAUCACCAUUUGAGUCACUUGACUCACAAGACUCACUAAGUACCUCCUUUUUUAGUGGUUCAUCAAUGACACUUGCCAUAAAGGCUGUGAAAUUAGUGCAUUCCUCACUGGCAUUGGAUUCUUUUUCACUAGAUUGACAUGAUUCUGAGUCACUCCAAGUGACUUGCAUGGCUUUCUUUCCUUUUUUCUUUGAGGAAUCCACUUUCAAGGAAUCCACAUCCUUGGACUCUUCAAUGGCAGUGAAUUUUGCUCUAAAUCUCUUCGGAAGAGAUCUUAGAAUUUUUCUAACCACUUUGGAAUUAGGAAUGGGCUCACCUAGAUUAAAACUAGAAUUCACAAUGUCCAUCAGUUUUGCAUGGAACUCUCCAAAGUUCUCAUGAUCCUCCAUCCUAAUUGUCUCAAACCUAGAGGUUAACAUUUGAAGUUUGGACACUUUCACAGCAUUAGUACCUUCAUGAGUCACUUGGAGGAUAUCCCAAGCCUCCUUAGCCGAAGUACAUGUGGCUAUCCUACGGAAUUCAUCCGUGCUAAUGGCAUUAAAGAUAGAAUACAUGGCUCUAGCAUUGUUCUCACUAGCUUCAUUAUCACCUCUAUCCCAUUCCAACUUAGGCUUGAUAACAUUAGUUGGUCUUCCUUCUCUAUCCAACACCUUAGGUGGAGACCAACCAAAUUCAACUGCAUUCCAAACUUUUUCACUUUGCAUUUUGAGAAAAUAUUGCAUUCUCACUUUCCAAUGAGAAUAAUUUUUGCCGGUUAAAAAUGGUGGUCUCGCAAUGGAAGCUCCCUCUUGAUGAGGUUCCAUGAUUGAGAUUCAAGGACUGAAAAUGAUUUUGUUUUUUAAAAACCCGCUCUGAUACCAAUUGAAAAUGUGAAUCUCAAUAAUGAACUACACUUAGAGGGGGG